UAAUCAAAAACCUUCAUCAAUGAUUGUGAUUUUUUUAUUAAAACCUUUUAUAUGGAACAAAUUGUACAAUUUUUGCUCCAUAGUUUCAGAACCAACUCUACAAGUCGUAUAUGCACAACCUUCAUCAAUAAACUUCGUAAAAGGUUUUAAUCAAAAAUCACAACCAUUUCCUAUCAAACAACAUUGUUCUUUUCCAUUAUAUUUUAAAUUAAUUUACUUAUAUAAUUUCUAAAUGGAAUAAGUAAAAGUUUAUACAGACACACAAAGCGAAAAAAAAAACUUGAUAUGAAGCCAAAAAAAAAAACAUUGAUAUGAAUCUGAUCAUUUCAUCAUGGAGCAUACGUAAAUAAAUAAUGAUGCAAUUGAAGAAGAUUGAGAAAAAGGGGAUCUUCGUCACAGCCACUAAUUGAAGAAGGACAAGUGCUUCUAGGUAAUUAAAAUGAGCUAGUUUACAGUUACAAAUAGAUUAUGUAAGUUAUAUAAAUUAAUUUUUAUGGCUUUAAUUAUUCCAUUUACAGUCAUUUAUAGGAGAGAGAAAAGAGAAAGUCUUAAAUAAAAGAAGAAAGAGAACUAAACAUUAAAGAGAGGAGAGAGAAGGAUAUUAAUGAAAUUAAUAACUCAUGUAAUCUAAUCCUGACCCUUCAUUUCAAUCUAAUCCAUUGGUUGAAAAAUUGUGUUAAACUUGUGUCUACAAAUGUGUCUCUUGAACCUACCCCAAAAAUUUUAUGCUAUAAGACAUCUUAAAAAAAAAAAAAAAACAACUAAUAUGCACUUAUGUAAAAUAAAUAUAUGAUUUUUGAACAAUUAAAAAGGCGUGUUCAUCAAUAAUCAUCACAAUACAUGCAAAAUCAAGAUAAUCAAACUUUAAUCAAUUAAAUCAAUAGAAGAUUAGUUAAAUUUUAAACUUUUGUAUGUGUGUGCUUGAUAUAAAUCCAUCAUGACUCAAUCUCGAUUUUUCUCAAAAUCAACAAUUUUUGUAUUGAAAAAUAGAAUAAACAAGUCAAACUAACCUUAUCAUCUUAAUCUUUGAAUUGGCUUUUUCAAUGUAACAGGCAGUGUAAUAAGAGAUUGCAGUAAUAAAAUUUUUCAUUCUACUGUAUAUAUUAUUUUUUUAAAUGCUUACAGUUAACAACUUUCACCUUACCUCUUAAGGUAGCCUUUUUCUGAUGGUAGUUCGUUCUUUGUCGUAUUUCGAGUACGCAGACUCAAAUUACUCAAGGAUAGCUUCACUCUUAAAAGUUACAGGUAGCUAUUUCUAAUUGAGGCGCCUACAUAUCUUGAUAUCUACAGUUGAGAUAAGAGUUAAAAGCAAAAAGUCAAUGUUCAAUCCAUUAAUCUCAACAUCAGAAGUCUCAAAAUUAAAAAUCAAGUACUUCCAUGAUAUAUGUGAAUAAGUUUAAAUUAAACCAAUCAAAAAUUGUUUCAAUCUUUCAAGUCAUCAAAACAAGACUUUUAUGCGCAUAGUGAUUCAAAUUGAGAACAUGUCAUGCAAAAACACAUGCGAAUGAUGUAUUAAUCAUGUCAUGAGAUGCAAAAAAAUAAUGAUACAUAUAUAAAAUGUUAGAACAUGGCUACAUAGAACAAAUACCUAAAACUUUUCUUAAGGAAUCAAGUCUACAUGCAUCCAAAGCUUUAAUAAAGAUAUCCACAAGCUAAUUUUUUGUUUUAAUCUACUCCUGAAAUAUAGUCUUGUUUUCAACUAAACCACGAACAAAAUGAUGUCCGAUAUUUAUAUGCUUAGUUCUAGAAUGUUGAUGAUUCUUUGAAAUAUUGAUUGCACUUGUAUUAUCAUAAUAUACAGUAAGAAUAUCUUGGGCGAAACCAUAAUCUUCGAGCAUUUGCUUCAACCAAAGUAAUUGAGUACAACACUACCAAUGGCAACAUAUUCUGCCUUAGCAGUAGAUAAAGAAAUUGAGUGUUGUUUCUUAGAGCAUCACCAAAAGACUCUUUAAAUAAGAUUUUAUUAAUUAUUUGAAGAGCCACAUCAGCAUUUAAGGCUCCAAAAGACACUCCAAUUAAGAUUCUUCAAAUAAGAAAUGAUCAUCUCUCUUCAAAUUUGAUGAGUUGUUUUCUCCCUCUUCAAUUUAUAUUUUAUUACUUUUUGUUGGAGAAAGAGAGAGAAGUACUUUAAUUACUAUUGACUUUUCCUUUAAAAAAUAGUUAUUUUAAUUAAAAUAAUAUUAACUCAUUUCUAUUUCAAGAGUCUUUUGGAGAAUAACAUAAUUUUUCAUUCUUCUAUUUGCCACAUAGGUAAGCAAAUAGAUAUUUGAAGAGUAAAAUUUAUAAAACCUUUUGGAGAUGCUCUUACUAUGCCAAGAUACAAAAUGGUUACCAAGAUAAAAACAACCUCCAAUGGUACUCUUUCUAUCAUCAGAAUUACCUACAUAAUCAGCAUCGCUAUAUCUUGCAAGACUUGAAUUUGUGUCUUUAGUACACCAAAUUCCAUCAUUAAUAGUUUCAUUUACAAAAUGAAUGAUAUGUUUCGAUGCAGAUAAAUGAGAUACUUUUAGAUUUGCUUGGUACGUAGCAGAAACACCAACACUAAAACAAAUAUCUGGCCUACAUCUAGUUAAAUAAAGUAAGCUACCAAUCAUGCUUAUGUAUAGACUUGUAUCAACAUUAGAGUCACUAUCAUCUUUAGUUAAUCUUAAAAGUGCUCAUAGGCAUUCUCAUAUAUUUGGCUGAAUCUAGUUCAAAGUUUUUUGCCAAAUUUUUGGCAUAUUUUCUUUGAGAAAUGAAGAUACCAUUUUCAAGUGGUUUCCCUUGUAAGCUGAAAAAAUAGGAUAACAUACUAACCAUGCUCAUUUCAAAUUCAUUAUUCUUUGGAUCAAAAUAUUCCCGAACUUCUAUAAGAGAUAUAUCAUCCAUAUAAAUUUGAGCAAUCAUACUUCCAAGGUUAAGGUAUUUAAUAAAUAAAUUUUUGUCUACUCCCUUUCUUUUGUAGCCUUUUCCAAUCAAGGAUUUGUUUAAUCUUUCAUACCAAGCCUUAAGAGCUUUUUUUAAUCCAUAUAAAACUUUUUUUAACUUAAAAACAUAAUCAGAAUGAUGUGGGUCUUCAAAGCCUUUAAGUUGUUUAACUUAAGCUUCUUCAUUCAAAAUUCCAUUCAAGAUUGAUUUUCUUAAUUUCCAUUUGAAACAAUUUAAAGCCAAUUAAACAAGAUAAUAGCAAUUAAUAGCCUAAUAGAUUCUAGUCUAGCCAUAGGAGUAAAGGUUUCAUCAAAAUCAACACCUUCAAUUUUUGUAUAACUUAGUACUACUAACCUAACUUCAUUUCUCACUAUAUUACCAAUUUCAUUUGUUUUAUUCUCGUAAAUCCAUUUGGUGCCAAUAACAAUUAGUGUCCAAACAUCAUUACACUCAUAUUGUUGAAGUUCUUCUUGCAUAGCUUUAACCCAAAAUUCAUCCAAUGAGGUUCCUUAGCAUUUUUUGGUUAUUUAAUGAGGUAAAACAAUUCUUGUUAUUUCUAGAAUUUCCUCGAGUCAAAUUUUAAACCAUCUUGGCAAUCUUAGCCAUGGAUUCGUCUUUAACUUCAUUUUCAGCGUCAUCGGCAUCAUUAUCAUCAUCAAUUUUUGAAUUUGGUAUCUCAGCUUGAAAAGCAAUACUUUUUUCUUUCUUCUUCUUCAAAUGAUUAGUCUUAAAAGUUUCAAGUUUGUUAAUCACUUGAUUUCUUAUCUGCCAAUAUUUCUUCAAUAGCUAUAACUUCCAUAAGAAAUCUAUCCGACAAAAACCUCAAAAGUUUUCUAACUAAUUCUUAUUUAGAAAUUCAUUUACUAAGAGACUAAGAAGUGUUAUCAAUCUUAAGAAGUUUAUCAUUAAAAUCGGUAAUCUUCAUGUUCAUGCAUCUUAAGAUUCUCAAAUUCAAUUGUAAGUUUUUAAAGUUUGGAAUGUUUUACCAUAUUGUUUCCUUCAUGAUUGUGUCAAAGAAUGUCCUAAGCAUCUUUGGCAGUUGUACAUGUAGAGAGUAAAUUAUACUAAUUGAUGUUAACUGCAUUAGCAAUAACAUUGAGAGACUUGGAAUUAAAGCCAUAUUUUGAAUUUCUGCGUUGGAAUAUUCAUCCACAGGCUUAAGAAUUCUAUUUCCAUCUUGAUUAGCCUUAGUGGGUAAAUUGUAUCCUUUUCUUACGCAUUUCAUAGCUCUUAUGUUAAUGGAUUCAAUAAAAAUAGCUCUUAUGUAACAGUAGUAUAAUCCGUAGAUCCUUUUUCUCUCUGCAAAUUCAUUCCUACAAAAAUAGAUCAAGAUCCCAAAAUCUCACCGAAUAAACCAUUAGUGACACUAUUCUAAUACUAAUUGUUAAAAAUUUAGAUCUAUUUUUAACAAUUGUAGGCAAAAUAAGCAAUAGAUAAACUAAUUUCUUCAAUUAAUUACUGUUCACGAUUAUUGUUCACACGAUACUGUUUAGAAUUAGUGUUCAUCAUAUAGCACUAUUCAUGUUACAAUUUAUCAUAAUAAAUAUACUAAAAAUAGUAAAUUGAAGAGAGUAAAGCACACAAAGGUGUUUUACGUGAUUUAGAUCACUAUCCUAUAUUCAUGUGGAGAUUAGAACCUAUUGGAUUCUUACACAAUUUCAUGCACCCUUUUACGCUUGUCGCCACCUCUUUGUAUCUAACUUAGUUGACCUUGCUUAGUGAGAACCCCUCGUCUUCAAUUGCACUUGCUGCUUUCCUUGAGAUCCCCUCAACACAACAAAUGACAUCUUUGUCUAGAAGGGAUCAAAGUAAAUAUAAAAAAUGUCUAAUGAAAGACUUGAUAUGAUGAAGACUAAAACAUCAUAGAGAUAUGAAACAUCAUAUGCAGCCAAAUAGGCUCCUUCUCAUUCUCUGUAUUGGUUGUUUCUUGAUAUAAAAUAUCUUAUGUCUUCUUCAGAACUUCAAUAUGUGAAAUACUUCUCUUUAUAUAGGAGUAAUAUUUCACUCAAACCCUAGCAGAGAAAUAUUAAGAUAUACUUCCUUAAUGCUCCAAUAUUCCAUAAAUACUUUAUACUAUAAUAUAUUUCGUUAAGAGUCCAAUAUUUCAUAAAUACUUGAUAUAUUUAAAAAUAUAGCAGUCAUCUUUAUUUUUGGAGCUCUUUGAUAUGAGAUCUCUUACACACCAAUUUGGUUUUUUAUGCGUCGAAAUAUAUUCUCCAAUAUUCCACAUAAUCUAAUUUUAAUUAAUUUCCAAGAGUAGAUAAAUUUCUAAUUAAAGGAAACAAUCUUAAUAAAAGAAAUAAAUUAAUUAAAAUAAUAUUGACACAGUGAUGCCAAUAAUAAAUGCCUUAACAAAAAAUACAUACAUAAAUGUAAUAAAUAAACAAAUAAGAAAGUGUAGAAAGACUUACAAUGGGAAGCCGGCAAUUUGAAUCUUUGUGGUAAUGAUUUGUCGGGCCAUGCAGUUUGGCCUUGGCCAUGGAAUGUUCCACCGUCGGUGAGAGUUAAGCAUCUAAGGGAUUCAAAGGUGAUCUGGAUUUCCUUAUUGGCUAGCUUUUAAAGAUCAAGGGGAGCAACGAUGAGGCCUUGAAGUUGAAAUGAAAUUGGAGCUUUGCAUUGACCUUUAAAUACAACAUUAAUCACUAAAUAUUUUCCUGGUGGCGCCAAUAUCGUGCUAUUGGUAUUCCAAUUGCAAGCUUCUCUCUAAGCAUUUUCAAAAGCCUUAACUGUUAUUAUUAGUGCCAUCGGCCACAACACCAAAGUCAAUUACAUUGAAAACUCCAUUUGGGAGCUGCAGCCAAACCAAACAAAACUAGUAUUGCAAGCACUAGCAGCUGACAGCAAGAGCCAUAACCCAUCUUGUUUUUUAUGAUGGAUUAAGUGAUGAUGUUCUUGUUGAAAAAAUAGCAUAUCAAUAUGCUAUUUUGAGGGCACAUUUUGAGUAGGUCCCACUUAGCGAAAGUGGAAAAUCUUGUGAAGUUCGGGUUCUACUCCGUGAAUACUUCGAAAGUGUAUAUUUAUUUACUCAAAAUAGUGCUUGGGUGAAUGAAAAAUUGUCUCUCAAAGUGCACCCUUGAAGUUGAAAAUUUAAAAGGAAAUGAGGUUUGUCCCACAAGGGAAAAAUAAGCCAAGGGAUUUGUGUUUAUAUAUAGACAUUUACCUAUGCAUGACCAAGAAUUAUAAGGAUAGAAGCUCUCUCCACACGCGCGUGCGCAGGGGGUGUGAAUCCAAGACCGAUUUGAUUGAACUCGUGUGCGCCCGCACAUCUUGCGUACGCGAAUGUCAGCCCAAAAUCACCCAAGCUUGCAUGGCACGUUUUCAAUAGGCUGUAUUGAAUUGUUUAAAUUAAAUUGGCUGUUACAACAAUUAAAUGGCAUAUAUUGAAUUCAGAAAUUCAAUAUUAUUCUACUGUUACAUCCUCACAUAUGUAUAAAAAGGCAUCUUCCUCUUCUGUUUUUACACACAAGAACAACCAACACACAGAGCACACCAAAAUUUCUUCCUCCUUCUGACGUUCUAUUUUUGAUCGAGUUUGUACGUUGUUGUGGUUCGCCAAAAUUAUCAGUAUGUGCUUGACGGAUAAUUCGUACCUGUUGUAUCCUGGGAAACAGUUACCAGAAAACCUAAAGCACUACAGUAGGUGGUAAAUCUAUUUUAAGGAAACUGUAUUGCAGGCCUCGAGUUUAUUUUCUGUUUCCGUUUUCUUUUCCCUACUUUUUUCAUUUGUUCAUUCGUGAUUUCCAGUUCUUGUUUUACGUUGUUGUUUAAAUUAGCUACAGUAUCAAAGUGUUAUCUCACUGUUAAUUUUGUUACAAUCUUAAAACAGAUUUAACGUUGAGAUGGCAAUUGAACUAAUGAUGCAGUUCCGACUAUCCCUGUUUCAGCUUCUGCUGCUGGACCAUCUGUUGUGAAGGAACCAGCCUCUAUGGCAAUUCCUGUGAAUCAUGCAAAAAGACUAGAAAAAUUCAAUGGCCAGAAUUUCAAAUGUUGGCAGCAAAAGAUGUUCUUUUACCUGACCACGUUGAACCCUGCGAGGUUCUUGACGGAGGAUGCCCCUAAACCCAAAGAGGGUGAAACAAAUGUUCAAGUUGCAAGUGCAAUUGAUGCAUGGCAUCAUUCUGAUUUUUUAUAUAAAAAUUAUGUAAUGAAUGGCCUUAGUGAUUCCUUCUAUAAUGUAUACAUAGGAAAAAGAACAGCUAAGGAGCUAUGGGAAUCCUUAGACCGUAAAUAUAAAACUGAGGAUGCGGGUACCAAAAAGUUUAUUGUUGGCUGUUUCCUAGACUAUAAAUGGUGGAUUCCAAAAUUGUAAUGAGCCAAGUACAAGAGCUUCAGAUAAUAUUAUCUGAAAUCCUUGCUGAAGGGAUGAUGCUAAGCGAAACAUUUCAAGUGGCUGCAAUUAUUGAAAAAUUGCCUCAUGCUUCGAAAGAUUUCAAGAGUUAUUUGAAGUAUAAAUGCAAGGAAAUGAAUAUUGAAGGGUUGUUUCUGUGGCCAAGGAAAACGUUGUUGAACAUGGACCUAAAAAUAAGAAAAAUAAAAAAUCGGGUCCGAAAGGAGGAAUUUCCAAUAAGCAAACAAAGUUUCAAGGAAAAUGUUUUAAUUAUGAUAAGAUAGGUACAAGGCUUCGGAUUGCAGGUCGCCUAAAAAGAAGCGAGAUGCAAAUGUGGUGGAAAACAUCACUCAACAUGUUUCAGACAUAAAUCUCUCUGCAGUGGUUUCAGAAGUGAAUCUUGUUGGCUCUAAUCCGAGAGAAUGGUGGAUUGAUCUGGGAGCAACGAGACAUGUUUGCUCGGACAGAGGGUUGUUCACUUCAAUUGAAGUAGUUAGCAAUGGAGAGAAGUUAUUCAUGGGAAAUUCUGCCACAUCUGAGAUUGAAGGUCAAGGGAAGGUGAUUCUGAAGAUGACUUUUGGAAAAGAGCUGACUCUGAACGAUGUGCUUUAUGUGCCAGAAAUACAGAAGAACUUGGUGUCUGGAUCGCUGUUGAACAAACAUGGUUUCCGAAUGGUGUUUGAGUCAGAUAGGGUAGUUUUUUCAAAGAAUGAGAUGUAUGUGGGAAAGGGUUAUGUUAAUGAUGGGCUAUUUAAGCUCAAUGUAAUGACUCUGAAACCAAAAAUUAAUAAUGAAGCUAGUUCUUCUGCUUAUUUGCUUGAGUCUUCUAAUUUUUGGCAUGGUAGAUUAGGACAUGUUAAUUUUAAUUCAUUGCGUAAGUUAAUUAACAUGAAGCAUAUUCCCAAUUUCCAAAUUGAUUUGAAACAUGUGUGAAACUUGCGUUGAGGCAAAACUAACUAGGUCAUCUUUCCAAACAAUUAAAAGAAACAAUGAGCCACUUGAUUUAAUACAUAGUGAUAUUUGUGAUUUUAAAUCCAUUCAAACAAGAGAUGGUAAUAAAUAUUUUAUUACCUUUAUUGAUGAUUGCACAAAAUAUUGUUAUGUAUAUUUAUUGAAAAGUAAAGAUGAAGCUUUAGAAAAGCUUAUUCUCUACAAAAAUGAAGUUGAGAAUCAACUUAAUAGAAAAAUCAAAGAAUUAAGGAGUGACCGCGGUGGUGAGUAUGUUGUUCCGUUUGAGUCACUAUGUGAACAAAGUGGAAUCAUACAUCAAGUCACGACUCCAUAUUCACCUCAAUCUAAUGGGAUUGCAGAAUGAAAGAAUCGAACUUUGAAAGAAAUGAUAAAUGUAAUAUUGAUAAGUUCUGGGUUACCCCAGAAUAUGUGGGAAGAAGCUAUUUUGUCAGCUAAUUAUUUAUUAAAUAAGAUACCCCGAAAGUAAGAAAAUAAAACCCCGUAUGAGCUGUGGAAAGGUAGAGCACCUUCAUAUAAAUUCUUACGAGUGUGGGGGUGUCUUGCUAAAGUAGUGGUUCCUUUAAAUAAAAAAAUGAAAAUAGGACAAAAAACUGUUGACUGCAUUUUCAUUGGUUAUGCACAAAACAAUAGUGCUUAUCGAUUUUUGGUGCAUGAGUCUAAAGUUCUAGAUGUCCACAAAAAUACGAUAAUAGAAUCAAGAAAUGCAUUGUUUUUCGAACAUGUGUUUCCUUGCAAUUUUAGAGUGGAAUCGAGAGAACUACGACAAUUUCAUGAAACAACAAUUGAAAAUGAAGAAAAUAAUGAAGCUCCAAAAGAAGAAGAAGAACAAGAAGUUGAGGUCAGACGUAGCAAAAGAGCUAGAAUAGAAAAGUCUUUUGAUCCAGACUUUCUGACGUAUUUGCUAGAAAGUGAACCUCAAAGCUUCAAAGAAGCUGUAACUUCACCUGCAGGCGCUUUAUGGAAAGAAGCCAUUAAUAGUGAAUUUGAAUCCAUUUUACAGAAUCAUACCUGGGAGCUAGUAGAUCUUCCUCCAGGAUGUAAAUCUUUGGGGUAUAAGUGGAUUUUCAAAAGGAAAAUGAAAGCCGAUGGAUCAAUUGUUAAGUACAAGGCUAGGCUUGUAAUUAAAGGUUAUAGGCAACGAGAAGGUCUUGAUUACUUUGAUACUUAUUCUCUUGUUACGAGAAUAAAUUCCAUUCGGAUGAUAAUAACAAUUGCAGCUUUGCGCAAUCUCGAGAUACAUCAAAUGGAUGUAAAGACGGCUUUUCUAAAUGGAGAUUUAGAUGAAAAAAUCUACAUGGAGCAGCCUGAAGAUUUUAUAGCUCCAAGACAAGAAAAGAAAGUCUGUAAAUUAGUAAAGUCAUUAUAUGGCUUGAAACAAGAACCAAAACAGUGGCAUGAAAAAUUUGAUCAUAUGAUGAUCACAAGUGGAUUUAAGAUCAAUGAGAGUGACAAAUGUGUUUAUGUCAAAGAAAUAGAAAAUGGCUAUGUCAUUUUAUGUUUAUAUGUUGAUGACAUGCUCAUUGUUGGGAGUGAUGAUGACAUGAUUAAAUCUACCAAGAAUAUGUUGAAGUCUAAGUUUGACAUGAAAUACAUAGGUCUUGUAGAUGUCAUUUUGGGAAUUAAAAUCUCAAAGGCUUCUAAUGGACUUAUUCUAAGUCAAACUCAUUAUGUAGAUAAAAUUCUUGGGAAAUUUAAAAAGGAUGAUAAUACCGUGUCUAAAACUCCAUUAGAUACGAGUAUACAUCUAUCGAAAAAUAGAGGAGAAGGUAUUUCUCAAGUAGAAUACGCUAGAAUAACAAAUUGUACCAGACCAGAUCUAGCCUAUACAGUAAGUAAACUUAGUAGACAUACAAGUAAUCCAGGAACUAUCACUGGAAAGCUAUCGUAAGAGUACUUAAGUAUCUUCGAUACACUCGUAAUUAUGGACUGCACUAUACUAGGUAUCCAGAAGUAUUAGAAGGAUAUAAUGAUGCUAAUUGGAUAUUUGAUGUAGAAGACUCAAAAUUCACUAGUGGCUAUUUGUUUACACUAGCAGGUGUAGCUGUAUCAUGGAGGUCUUCUAAACAGACAGUAAUUGUCAUAUCUACAAUGGAAUAUGAAUUUAUUGCUUUAGAUAAAUGUGGUAAGGAAGAAUGGUUGUGGAAUUUUUUAGAGGGUAUUCCAAAGUGGCCAAAGCCUGUGCUUACAAUUUGUAUUCAUUGCGAUAGUUAAUCAGCUAUCGGUAGGGCACAGAGCAAUAUGUAUAAUGGUAAGUCUAGAAAGUCUAGACACAUACGUCGUAAAUCAUCAAGGGGAAUGAGAUUAAAACCCUUAGAAUGAUUAGUCAAUAACGAAGGAAAACCCAACUUAGUUGACUGGAGAUCCCAAUAUCUAGGUUCAAUGGGACAACCUAAUUGUUAAAGACUAAAGUUUGAUCACUGUGGGGGUCAUUCUCUUGAGAGGAUUACCUCAUUGACCAUUCCUAUAAUGAAACAAUGAUGCCCGUGAGAGUUAAGGUUGAGCUGGGCUCUUAAUGAUUCUUAUGCAUCGAAAUUCGAGCAGAGUAAUACGUGUUACUCUAAAUUAAGAUAUCACCUAUGUGAGAGAGAAGUGGGGCCGCUUCAAAGGGAGCUAUUACGGGUUCAGCUCUUAGAAACUCUUGCAGAAUCAGGUAGAUGUUUAAGGCCAAAACGAGCAUAACCAUCAUAACUCAACAGUGUUAGGAGAGAUACCUCUGUGUAUUAUAUGAUCGUUUACAAUAACGGCAGAACAGUUCAAAGACAUCGCGUCUACUGAUCAACCAGUAAAGUAAAUAUACUAUCACAAUGGAAGGUUUAAAGGAUAAAACAUACAUAUCCUUUGCUAGGUAUCAAUAUAAUAAACUCGAUCAUUAAGGUCAAAAAUGAUUUUGAUGUCAAAAUUUAGCAAUUUUCUGUUUUACUGCCAAUUUUCAUUCAUGUGGGGGAUUGUUGAAAAAAUAGCAUAUCAAUAUACUAUUUUGAGGGCACAUUUUGAGUGGGUCCCACUUAGCGAAAGUGGGAAAUCUUGUGAAGUUCAGGUUCUACUCUGUGAAUACUUCGAAAGUGUAUAUUUAUUUACUCAAAAUAGUGCUUAAGUGAAUGAGAAAUUAUCUCUCAAAGUGCACCCUUGAAGUUGAAAAUUUAAAAGGAAAUGAGGUUUAUCCCACAAGGGAAAAAUAAGCCAAGGGAUUUGUGUUUAUAUAUAGAUAGUUACCCAUGCAUGAGCAAGAAUUGUAAGGAUAGAGGCUCUCUCCACACGCGCGUGCGCAGGGGGGGUGCGAAUCCAAGAUCGAUUUGGUUGAACUCGUGUGCGCCCGCGCAUCCUACGUACGGGAAUGUCAGCCCAAAAUCACCCAAGCUUGCAUGGCACGUUUUUAAUUUCCUUUUAAAGUUUUGUAACAGUUUUUCAAUUUUUGAAGUCAAAAGAUUUUUAACAGCUUCGCAAUUAUUUUUGGGCUGUUAUGCAAAUUCAAUUUUUGAAUUCAAUAGGUUGUAUUGAAUUGGCUGUUACAACAAUUAAAUGGCAUAUAUUGAAUUCGGAAAUUCAAUUUUAUACUAUUGUUACAUCCUCACAUGUGUAUAAAAAGGCAGCUUCAUCUUCUGUUUUUACACACAAGAACAACCAACACAUAGAGCACUCCAAAAUUUCUUUCCUCCUUCUGACGUUCUGUUUUUUAUCGAGUUUGUACGCUGUCGUGGUUCGCUGGAAUUAUCAGUAUGUGUUUGACCGAUAAUUCAUACCCGUUGUAUCCUGUGAAACAGUUACCAGCAAACCUAAAGCACUACAAUAGGUGGUAAAUCUGUUUUAAGGAAACUGUGCUAUAGGCCUCGGGUUUAUUUUUUGUUUCCGUUUUCUUUGCCCUGCUGUUUUUCAUUUGUUCAUUCGUGAUUUUCUGUUGUUGUUUUACGUUGUUGUUUAAAUUAGGUACAAUAUUAAAUUGUUAUCUCACUGUUAAUUUUCUUACAGUUCUCCUGGUGAUCUAUUUAAUUUAAUUAGAUGUUGAUGGUAGAGAUAAAUCACUCAUGUGGAGGCAUUUUAUAAAGUACUGCGAUAGCAGUUCAUCCACUAAUUAUAUAUGAAACAAUACAAGUGGCCUAUUUUUGCAUGAUUUUGGGAGUCACUUUCUUAGUCAAGGGUUACUUUCUUUACUCAAGUGCUAUAGGUCGUUUUCUGUGGUCCAUUCAUCUUUGCUUUGUGGUUGCUCCGCUAUAUAAUUUCUAACAAAUUCUGUUAACGGCUACCAGUUAUUAAUAAAUAAACUCUUUUGUGUUGCAUGUGGUUAGGUAAGUAAGAAGUUUAACUUAUUCAUAGCAUUUUUAAUUAACUUGUUUAAACUUCAUGAAUCAAAUGUGAGUUGAUCCAAUAUUUAAUUAAAAAGGGAUAAGUUGUCAAGUAAAAAUGCGAUUUACUAAAUCCUUUAAUUGUAUGCACUGUCGAAAUUAGGGCAAAUAUUCGUUUAAUCCCUAUUUUUAAUUUGGAGUUAGAUGUGUAUUUAGUCACUGUAUUUUAAAAAGUUUCUCAAAGCCGUUAAAUAUGUGACACUACUGACCUUAUUGUUUCUUUACUUUUACAAUUAUACCUUUACUACAAUUUUGAGCACAUUAAUUAGUUUAUCUAUAAUAAAAAGUUAUCUAAUAAUUAACAAUAAUUAUUUAUUAGUGAAUUAACUAAUAAAUAUUAUUAUGAAAGAAUUGGUACUUUUUGUACAUUGCAAUAUUCUUCCUAAUAAUUAUUUUUAAAGAAGUUAAUACUAGCCAACCUAAAGCAAUAUUUGGAACCUUGCAAUAAUACAUAAAUAAUUUACAAAAUUAACCAUAAAAGUAAAUCAAUAACAAAGAUUUACAUUUAUUUUUAUUUUUUAGCAUUAAUUCUUUAAUAAUCUUUUUAUAAAUAAAUUAAUUAAUGUCCCUAUAAAUGUUGUUGCAAGGGCAUCAUCAUAAAAACAAAAAAAUAAUAAAGGCAUGAGUGUAACAUAUUUAACAAUAUAGAUGUUUUGAGGUAUUUUGAAAAAUACAAGAAAUAAAUGCAUAACUAAUCAAAAUAUAAGGAUUAAACAAGUAUUUACUUAUCGAAACUAAGUAGAAAUACAAUAGAAUCCUGAACAUUAUUACAUUACCCUUAUAUUGUAAUAUGAAAUUAGUAGAUCAUUUAUUCAUUUUGUCUUGCCUUGCCUUUUUAAGAUCCUGACACGUGUUUGUUGUUAGUUAUUUAUAGUUUAUGAAUAACUUUUCAUUGUUUUUGAUUCCAUGAACCACUGAUGAUCAAUAGAUUUAAAAAAGAUAAGCCGAAGACAAGAUGAAUAGAACAUAUAAAUCAGAGCGGGCCCAUGAUCAAAUUUAGGCUGUGCUAAAUUAUAAAUUUAUAGUAUAUAUUAGAGUUAAUGUCAGUGCACAUAAACAAUUAAAAAUUUUACUCUAAACAAAAUGAAUACUUUUAAUAAAAUAAGUCUCUAACUCUAACUAGUGACAUGGUAGAUUACUCUUUUUAUAUGAAUUUUAAAGGUCCCAAUUCAAAAUUAACUUAACUAGAAGAUAUAUUUCAUUUAUUUUAAAAGAAAUUGAUUUCGGGAUACAGUUGAGAAAAAAGUGAUAAUUAUAUUCUUAUGGAGAAGAUCAUAAAUCUAUACGGAUUUUAAGUACUAAGCUGGGCAGUUUAGCCUAGAUUAUUGAUCGCGCCUAACCCAGUUGGGUUUAACUAUUAGCUUUCCUCCAAUACACUCUUUUUUUUUUUUUUUGAAUAGCCUCCAAUACACUCUUAAAACUCCAUUUUUAAGGAAAAAAAAACCAUUAUCGUUAUUAAUACUCACUUUAAUUCAGAAAACUACUUCUUAUAAACAUCGUAAUCUUUCAGUUCAAAACCCAGAAAACACAGUUUUCUUGAUUUUCCAUUAUCCAUCAUGCGUCUAUACUUUUCUUGCUUAAAUAAAUAUUAUAAUACCUUCAAUGAAAGAUUAAAUGUAAUCUUCAAUUCUAUGAUUUUUAAGUUGAAUUGCCUUGUCACAUUAUCCUCUCCAUCAUAUUUUUUGUGUUUUCACAUUAAGAGUAAAAGAAUUCCUGUUGGAUGCAAAUUCAUUAAUCAUUUUAAUCAUUCAUUUGGGAUUAGAAACAAAACAAUAAAAUGAGAGUAAUGAUGAAUAAAAAAAUAAAAAUAAAUCGUGGGUUUAGCGGUGAGUAACGGACGGUGUGGAGGUGACAGUGUGAGAUAGUUUUGAGAGAGGAAACGAGGUGAGAUUUACAAAGAUUGUUUUGUUCUUUAUCGUAAUUACAUAAAUGAGGGCUUUUAUAAGGUUAGGGUGGAGUUAUUUGAACCCACUAAAUUACUCACUAAACUCAUUUACUAAAUAAACCCAACCUCACUUUUUUAAAUUUUAAAUUUUACUCAAUAAACCCACUUAAAUACCUAAUAUAUCCUUACUAAACCCAAUUUUUAUAAUAAUAGUGAUUUUACUCAUUAAACCCAUAUGAUAAAUGUUUCAUUGAAACAAUUUUUUUUUUGCAGCCACACGAGGCUAUUGUGCAGCCAUAACGAGGAUAUUGUGAAGCCUUGUGCGGUUGUCGCUUGGCCACACGAGGCUGUCGAAAGGCCUCGCAUGACCACAACAGCCUUGUACACCCAUCAAUGAUGUAAUUUGUCGAAGUUUAGUUGGGUUCAAUUUGUAAUAGGUUGAUCUCGAUUCAACUUGUAUGUUUUAGGGUCCGUUUGAUUUAUUCAAGGGAAAAGGACAAUAAAUCCCUAAUGUUUUAGAAAAAAGACAUAAAAUUCCUGAACGUUUUAAAAAAAAUGUAACUCACAUUUUUGUUAAUAAUUUUGUUUUUAAUUUAUAAUUACUAUUAUGUCCCUAUAAUAAAUAAAUCAAUAUAUUGAUUUAAAACAUGCCAUGUGUAUAAUGAAAUCAACAAUUUCUUAUUUAAAACUUAAAACUAAAAUGUAACUACAUUUUGCCUAAACUAUUCACUCUAAAUUAUUAAUGGGUGAAGUUAUUUGAACCCACUAAAUUACUCACUAAAUUCAUUUACUAAAUAAACCCAACCUCACUUUUUUAAAUUUUAAAUUUUACUCAAUAAACCCACUUAAAUACCUAAUAUAUCCUUACUAAACCCAAUUUUUAUAAUAAUAGUGAUUUUACUCAUUAAACCCAUAUGAUAAAUGUUUCAUUGAAACAAUUUUUUUUUUGUUUGAAGAAAGUUUUUUCGAAAAAAGUUUUUUUCCGAAGAAAGUUAUGCAAGGAAUAUGAUUUCAUAGUGCAUCUAUUGGUGGUUUUCAACAAUAUAAUUUCUAUUUACCGAUUCAAAAGUUUUGAAAUGAUGAAAGCUCAACCAACAAGGCAUAAGGAGUCAAAAUGGAUCCUUCUCCAUUGUUCAGGCUUGCUAUCAUCAAGUUAUGUCAGCAGGCUUGAUUUCGUAGUUUAAGUUACAAUGAUUACUCAUAAAUUUAAAUUGACAAAUGAUUGCUCAUAAAUUUUUCAUGUGAUAGAGCAAUAACAUGCGAAAGAAACAUCUAAAGUGAGAACAAAUAUAAAAAUAUUUUAAAAAUAUAUGGCUUGACAGGAAAAUCACACAUCUUGAUUGAUUAGGGUUUAAUUAAAAUAUGAUUAGGGUUUCAUAAAAUUAUGUUGAAUAUGAAGUGGGUUGAAAAAGUAAAAUUUUUAUUUUUUUCCUUUUUUAUUAUAUUUCAAUGUCCAUAACUGUAAUUUAACUUAGGGGUGUUUUAAUCAUAAAAUUUUUUUUUUAAAAGUGGGUUUAAUUAGUAGUUUGGUGGGUUCAAAUAGCCCCACCCAUAAGGUUAAUGGUGGGGGUGGGGCUAUUUUAACGCAUAAAUUCCUUUUUUCACCCUAUUUGGUCUCUCUCUACAUCACUUGCAAAUUAAAAGUUUACCAUUUCACUCUCUUUGGCCAUGGAUUCUUUAUCUUCAUUAAUUCCACUACAUUUUAUUUGUGGCAUUUGAAUUGCGACUUUUUUAUUCUAUUUUAUUUCAAAUGAUACAAAGAUUUAUAAUUUUACACAGAUUUAGGAAAAAUAAAAAAUUUAUAGCUUUCACGAUUACUUAAAAUUCUUGAUACUUAUUUUUGUAUGGGGGGUUUGUUCAUAUAAAUUGAAGAAAGGGUAGUUAUUAUUAUUACGUUCUUGGUCGAAGAGCUUUUGAAUAAAAUCAGUAAGCCAACUUAGGGUCUAAAAUUUCCAAGCAAAGCAUGCAAACCCCUUUGGCCUCGAGAGCCCUAGUCUUGAAAAAAUGAGCCACUAAACCUUGAUCUGAUAUUGCUUGUAGCUUAUAGGAAAAAUUAAUUUCGAUUAUUCGUAAGAUUUAACAUUCAUUUGCGGAUGAGAAAAUCAAAGGAAUUGGUUAGAGAUGAUCAAGAAUUGUGAAAGAGAGAGAAUAGGGUUAAUUAGGUAAUUUUAUCAAAAUUAAUUUGAUAAUAAAUAUUUUAAUUAAAAAAUAGGUGUAGAGAGAAAAUCGAUGGACGUAAAUGUCCCCAUCCUAAUGGUUGGGGGCUAAUAUAUAUUCGUAAAUAUCCUUAACUUAAAUUACUAUUAUAACUUAAUAUUAAAAAAAAUAUUUCUCUUCCUAAAAGUUUUUAAGCAGUGAUAAGAAGUCUAAUUACUAAGCAUAUGGGUUUAUUAAGUAUUAUAGUGGGUUAGCCCUACCCUUUGAUUUAUUGGAUAUAUUAAAGGGAGAAUGAUCAUUUAGUUUCUCUUACAAUUUGAUUUUACCGCUUGGUCCUUAAUUUAAUAUCUUAUUAAAGCAAUAUUAAAAGAUAAAUAUAACCUUUUAAUUAAUAAAAAAAUUAAUUAGAAAAAGAAAAUCGAUUCUUCAUUAUUAAGGUAACCCAUAAACUCUAAUAUAAGUUACAUUACAAAUUUUUAUUUAUUUGUUGUCAAUUAGACUUAUUGGAGAGAGUUAAUUUAUAAAAAAUAUAAUAUUUAUGAAAACAUAAAGAAAUGUCAGUCAGCAUACUCUAUGGUAAAUUCUACAUUCAUUUCAUAUAUAAAAGUUCUAUCUACAAGCGCAAUCAAUUAGAAACAAACAGAUGAGCCUUAGUCAAUAUGUCAUGUAGGUUAAUUAUUGUACAUGUCACAAUCAGAGACCAAAAUUUGCAUACGGUUGACUAAUAAGAAGACUUCCUGAGACAUCAAGUUUCAAGUUAAAAGUCUGAAGUCUUUCUUCAGAUUUUAUGACCAAAUGCCAAAUCCCAUGCUCCCUCUCAAACUUUUAAGGCUUCAUGUUUUCUUGAUCUGAAAACGCCACCCAAAGGUACAUCAUUCUUUCCUUCGUUUCUUUUUCUUCGAGAGCAUCUGCAAGUAAAUUUACUUUCACUCCAUGCUUCCAGUGAUUUGUUUCUUGUUUUAGAUUAUAUAUUUAGCAAAAUAUUCUUUUUCCUCAAAACUACCUAAAAAUUUAGAAUUUAUAUAACUAGUUUUAUCUUAGUCAAUGUAGUGAAGCCAUUUCUUUAUGUUUCUGUGUUGGUUAGAUGAAUUGUUUACUGAGAAAGAUCAAGCGUUCGGAGAGGGAAAAAACGAAAAUAUAUGUGAUGAGAAACGGAGAAAUGUUUCUGGAGAAAUUGAUCAAAUCUUGUAAUAACAAACGCAAUCCCCUUCAUUGUUAUUGUGCUAAAGAGCUCAUGUCAGCAACAAACAAUUAUGACAAACACAAAGUUAUAAAAACUGGAAUGAGCUAUGAAUUAUACAAGGGUUUUCUGCAAGACCAUCCCGUUUCUGUCAUGAAGUUCUUUGAAGACUUUGAUUAUGCAAAGGCAUACUGUUUUAAUAACAUUGUAUACGCAUCACAAAUGAUUCACAAAAAUGUUUUGAGGUUGGUUGGAUGCUGUUUGGAGACUCAAAAUCCUAUUUUGGUUUUCGAAAGUGCCGAGUAUGGAACUCUUGCUGAUCGUAUUUAUCAUCCUCGUCAACCCCAUUUUGAGCCCUUACCAUGGACACUGAGGCUAAAGAUUGCAAUGGAGAUAGCUUAUGCAAUUGCUUAUCUUCAUGUUGGAUUCUCCAGGCCAACCGUUUUCAGAAAUCUUGAACCUUCCAAUAUUUUAUUGGAUGAGCAAAAUGUUGCAAAAGUGUUUGAUUUUUCAUUUUCCGUGUCUAUUCCGGAGGGUGAAACCCACAUAACCGAUUGGUUGUUGGGAACAUUUGGAUAUAUUGCUCCUGAAUAUGUUACUAAUGGUGAUUGCAAUGAGAAGUGUGAUGUUUAUGGUUUUGGCAUGUUGCUGCUUGAGCUUUUAACUGGACAGAGGGCUGUUGAUCGAUCCAGACGUCAAGAAAUUGAAGAUGAAUAUUUUUUGGGUGAUCACGUGAGGUUAUACAUUGAAAGGAGUAGGUUCAAUGAGAUAAUAGAUGCCGUAAUUGUUGGAGACGGAUUAUGCUCCGCAACAGAGCAGAAGGUGCGAGCUUUUACCAAGCUGGCCUUCAGUUGUCUAUCUGUAUCAGCAGAAGAUAGACCAACAAUGGUUGAUGUGGCGAGAAAACUUAGACUAAUGUAUUGUUCUGAAACGUAAUUUGUUGAAGCAUUCAUAUGUUUAUGCAUCUUUUCUUUUCUUAUGUUGCUGCUACUUCAUGACUUUCUAUCAUAUUCCAUAUGUAUAUUGAAUAACUUUACCUUAAUUGCUACUGCAAGAUAAGUAUACCUUCAUUAAGUUCUGAAGAGUUUAAUGAAUCCCAUUUUAAAUCUUUUCUUUUCCCCUCACUCAACGGUGGCUAUCAGUAGUUUUCCAGAUCUGGUCUAUCAAUUUUUACUUUGUUGUUACUUCUGCCAUACAAUCUCUAACAAAUUGAAGGCUACCAAUUAUUCGGAAAAAAAAAAAAAAACCUGGUGUUUGUGGGGAGAAAAGUAAAAAUUUUAACUCAUUCACAUAGCCUUUUUCAAUUAACCUAUAACCUAUUUAUAAACUUCAUGAAUCAAAUGUGAAUUGAUCCAAUAUUUUAAUUAGAAAGUAAUAAGUUGUCGAGUAAAAGUGGAUGUUAAUACAACACAGUCUCGGACAAUAGUACAUUACCCUUCCAAUUGGGAAAGGCAGAUGAGUGAGAUUAAUUACGAAGAGAAAAGGCGAAAUUUUAUUGAAAAAAUUGAUUGCAUCUUGUAAUGGUAAGCACAAUCCUAUUCGUUACCUCACGAAAAUGAGCUCAAGGCAGCAACUGUUGAAAAGUCAAAAGUAAAUGGGGGUCACAUGUUGGAUUCAAUUUGAAUGCACCGAAAUCCACAUGCCUUUCUUGAAAAAAUCAAGAAGAGUUGGAGCCGCAUGUUGAUAAUUUGGAAAAGUUGGAGUCUUGGACAUUUGUCAAAAAAAGAGGAAAUUGUGAUAAUUAAACUUUUGUUGUGAUAAUUAAAUGCAUUUAUGGUAAGGCCGGAUUAUAAAUAGAGAAGUAAUUCUCAUUUGUAAAUUAUCCUAAAAAUAUAGAGUGUGAGAACUUAGGUGAAGAGCUCUCUCAGAGAAUGUAGAGAAAUUCUCUGUGAGAGAGUCUAGAAAAAAAGAACAUUUAUAAGUGAGCUCUUAGAAAGUUUAUGAGAGCGUUUUCUUAAGCGCUCAGUUGGGUUCUGCAUUAUUUCUAUAUGUAUAAAAGAAUGUCUAUCUUGCGAAAAUUGUUUUGUUCAAGAGUAUAUGCGAGUACUGGGUGUAUUUAAGUAUUUGGAAUGUGAGAUUUCGUUACUCAAAUUUUUACUAUAUUAAUUGUUAGUAAAAUAAUCAUUCUCUCUUGCAUAUGUGGGCGUAGGCUUUAUUGUCGAGCCAUAUAAAAUUCUUGUGUCCUUUAUUUUUUUGUGAAUAUUUGGUGUAUAUUGAUUCUGCAUUUGCACACAAGUGAUAUCAUACCAUAAGAAAUGACACUUUCGCAGCACAACAAGUGGUAUCGAGUUGAUGGUUCGUACUUGGGGUAUACAAUGUUGUUCAUGUAUUCAGUAAUAUUUAUAUGAUAUUGUUCAUGAAUACGAUAAGGCUGAUUGACACUGAAAAGUUUACAUUUAAUAAGGUUAAAAAUUAUCAAUUUCUCACUAACAAUGUUAAAUAAUGGGCUAAUAACUUACAAAUUAUCUCAAUGCUCUCCUAAUAAACUUUUAUGUUAAAUUUAUUUACAAUAUGUUAGUUUUAUGUUAAUUUUUAUUUCAAGAAUAAAGAGGGAAUUGGAACCAAAAGCAGGAAACAAAGAAGAUUGAUGAAGCCAUUUGGAAUGCAUUAUUGAGGAGAUGUAAUUAAUAAAAAUAAAAAAAAGGAAGUGAGCUAUAUCGUGAUAGUCAAGUGGGCAUUUUAUCACUUGACUAUCACACAUUUCUAUGUAAAUAUAUAAUUGAAAAAAAAAUAAUAAUAAUAAAAUAAAAGACAAUGAUAUAUUUGUUGCCUAUAAAAGGUAAGGAGAGGAAGAACGAGGGGACGGGCAAGAGAAGACGAGAAAGGAGCUGAGACCGAGACAUAGAAAUUUUUUUUCUUUUGUGUAGUUAACCCUCUUUUAAUAUAUUUCAGAAGUUUUUUAAAUAAAAUUAGUGUUUUGUUUAUCAACAUGAGUGGGUAAAUUUUCUAAGUUGAGAUGAAAGGUGAAGCUCAAGGAUUUAAAUUAUUGAUUUAAUUACUCUCUCAAGUGAGUCCUAAAGUUUAUGUUAUUUGUUUGUAUUUUUUUUCUUUACCACUUUCUUUUUAUGUCAUGUUAAUUUAUAAAUCUAGAUCUCCUUAGAUCUAUAUAGUAUUUUGGCAUAAUGUCGAUGCUCUAAUAUAGUUGUGGCACAUUAGGUACUUAAUUUCAUAUUUAUCUAUACAAACGGUUAGUUAAAGAUUAAAUAACAUAAUAAUUAACUAGAAAAAUGAAUGAUGAAUGUAAAAUAUAAAUAUGAGAGAGUAUCAGGACAAUAAUUUCACAACUGAGAGUAGAUCCCGUAAUCUUAAUAUUUUUUGUCAGAUUGAUCCAUAUUAAUUUUUUCUUUAAUUAAUUUUUAUUUAAUAAUUGACUACCAGAUUUUAAUAUUCUAUGUGGUUCGACUCCAGACUCAUUAGAUUACAUUAUAACUAAACACUGUUAUACUUGAGAGUAAAUAACACUUUUGUGUCACAUCAUAUUUUUGGCAUCAUUCCUGAAAAUUUUCUAAAUUUGGUGUCAGUUUGUCCUUAACUUUGUCGUUCGUUUAUGUUUUCGUCAUUUUAUUUUAUUUUAUUUCUUUGUAAAACUUCAGUUAGCCCCCCACUUCUCUUGAAAUUUUAGUAUUAUUUACAAAAUUUGUGAAAACUUCAUUUUGACCUAAAACUUUGCAAAUCAGUCCUUAAAUCGAAUUGGAACUUGGAUCUUAGGAGUAUGACUUAUUCUUUGGACUUCUGGACUUAAAAGACUAAAUGAACUUGGACCUUUGGACCUUUGGACUUUGUGGACAUAAUGGACAUGGACGUGGACUUUUUUAAAAUUAUCAUUAAGGCCCAAAAACCAAAUUAAUUAUCUAAUUGGUCAUUAAUUCUUAAAAGUUGUUAAAAAGGGGGGAAGAAGUCAUGGCUUGUGGUAAGUAUUCAUUUCCUUCCUUCUUCUUUUAAUUUCUACAAUUUUAUUUUUGUAAUUUUUUUGUGUUAUUUUAUAUGGCUGGUUUAACCAUCUAUUAUUUCAAUUUCAACUGGUCAAUUUUUAAUUUAUUUAUUUUUAUUUCAAAUUUAUUUAUUUUUAAUUUUUGUACAUUUAUUUUAUUUGCUUAUUAAUGUUUAGUUUAUUUUUAUUUUUGCAAUAUUCAUUUGUUUGUGUAUCAUUUUCAUAAUUUAAUUUGACACAUUACAAAUCAUCAGCAUUGUAUGCGACAUUGGUCUCGUAUAGAAAGUGGCAAAUUGAUUAGGAGAUCGCCUUCAUCAUCUUUAAACAUAGCCAAUAUCAAAAGUGAUAACAUUUUAAAGUAUGGAAAUAACCUAACCUUGCAAAAUCGUCAUGAGCAGCCUAGGACACUUGGAGAUUUCAUGCAUCCUACUAGAACAAGGUCAUCAUUAUGCAUAGUUUUUCCUCUUGAUGCAUCUCAUAUUAAUUUUAAAUCUAGUAUCAUUCAACUUCUACCUAUUUUUCAUGAUUUUGAGUCUGAAAAAUCAAUACUUGUGUUUAAGAGAAUUUGAAAAAGUUUGUAGCACCUAUACUUAUCAGAAUUGUAGCAUAAACAUAAUUAGACUCAAGUUUUUCUAUUCUCAUUAAAGGAAAAAAGUUAAAACUUGGCUACAAAUUCUUUCAAAAGAGAAAUCACCACAUUCACUCAAAAGUUAGGAGAAACCCUUUACCAAUGUUGGGAUAGGUACAAGGAGACACUUGACAUUUGCCCACACCAUGGUUUUAAAACAUAGAGGUUAAUGUCUUAUUUCUGUGAAGGACUAACAUCUCAAGUAAACAGGUUGUCAAAAUGAUGUGUAAUGGUGAAUUUAUGGACAAAAGUCUUGAAGUUGCAUUAGAUUACCUUGACUAUAUAGUAGACAAUGCACAAUACUGAGACAUAGUUGGUUUUUUUUUUUUUAUGAGUCACCAAAUAAACUUUAGUCAUCUCUAUUUGGUGGAGGCAUGUACAACUUUAGGGGAGACCAUGAACUUCAAGCCAAAUUUGCAUCCAUACGUAGAAAAGUCAAAGCACUAGAGUCCAAAAAAAUGAUCAUGUCGUGUUUGCAAUUCUACUGACCAUUCUAUGCAGGACUAUCCAACAUUGUCAAUUAUGAGAGAAAGUUUGCAUGAACAAGUAAAUGUCAUGAACAAUUUUAAAAAACCACCCAAUCCAUACUCCCAAACUUACAACUUUGGUUAGAGAAAUCGCCUAAAUUUUAGUUGAAGAAAUGAUAAUAAUGCACAACCUUCACAAAUAGCUCCUCUACAUUAGAAGAAUGUAUUUUUACUUCUUAUAGUACUUAUUCUAGUAAAUAUGGUAUCAAGCACUCAUUGGGUCAGGGGAAAUAAUUUUCUACUAAAUGUGGUGUUAAGUACAUGUUGUGCUAGGUGAUAAUAAUCCUACUAUCAACAAUGUGGCAAGAUCGUCCACUAAAAGACUUAGAUGCAUUCUCUGUCAACACUGAGUCAAGACGAGCCACUAAUACUAAAGUAGAGUUUCUCGCUAACAAAUAUAGUGUAAAGUGCUCGGUAACAUAUACACCCUAAUUUUUCCUAAUUAAGUGUGUUAUGUAUUUUACAUUACGGUAUUAAUUUUUAAAGUCAUCAGAUUGGUUAUAAAUUAUUAUGGGAAAACUUGACGUGACUCGAUUUCUUAUCAUGAAUUAAUGGAUUUGGGUCGAGUUAAUAAAUGGAUCAUGUUUUGAAUAAAUUUAAAAUUUGUCACGACAUAAAUUGAGACAAAUCGAACGUGAUAAAGGGUCUUGUAGUAGGAUUUUAUUUUCAUCACGGGUCUGGUAUUAGAUUAAUUUGUAUUAAGCUAAAAAAAAAGGGAGGGAACCAUUACUAUAAAUGGAAAGAGAGAGGAGUUGGUUUCCAAAAAUAGAAAGAGAGACCCGUUUGACCCGACCCCGACCGACGACUUUGACUCGGCUCUAACCGUUGAUUUCGGCCACCACUCUGGCCGAUCCAGGUACCGAUUUGAAGCUUGAAAGAUGAGCAACAUAUCCCUGCCAUCUUCGUCGCUGGAUAACGGUCAGAUUACCGGCGAUUUAGCCUGAAAAGAUCACGGCUCCACCCGUUUUAGUUGCCGUCGAUUUCAUUGGAAUUAGGCUGCAUCACCACUUGGAUCUUGAUCCUUAGCUCACCCUCAUCGUUUUUUGACCAACCCCACCACCUAAAACCUCUGUUUUGGCCAUGAAUGACUGUCGGAAAGCUCACAACUUUGGGAGCACAAUCUGCCGCCAUCAUCGUGCGUGGGAGGUCACCAUGGGCACCAUUAGACUCAUCGAGGUCAGAACUAUCAGGUCUGAGCUUCCCGUCGUCGUUGAUUGAAUUCCAGUCACCGUUGACCGGCAAGGGCAAUUCGGAGGACCUGCAAAUGUUGUUGAUACCGAGUCUGGACAUCAUCACUAUGAGUGGAAUAUUCAAAACAUAUUUUCAUAGUUUAUUAUGAUAGUAAAGCAUAUUUGCGAAAUGAGUAUUUUAAUUAUUCUGAUUUAAUGAUUUUCUCGAAAUGGAUUUUAUUCACGCAUUGAUAUUUUAUUAAAAUGUUAGUUAAUGGUUUUCCGGAUUGAUUUUGAAUAAAUCAUGAUAGUAAUUUUAAGACUAAAAAAGUAGAUUCAAAUGUGUUAGUGAAAAGAACAAUAUGAUUGAUAGUAUGAUUAAAAGGUGUAUGGUUAUUAGUAUAAAGAUUGUUUUGAAGUCAUUAGACAGUAUUCUUCCCCUCCACAUACAGUGAUACAGAUGAUAUGAGAUGAAAGGCCUUUGGGGCCUGUCUGAGUACACACAUAGGCUUUGGGCCGUGUACUUGGGCGCAUUGUCGUUUGGGGACCAAAUCAUGCAUGCAUAGAUAUGAUGAGACAUGAUGAGAUAUAUGAGAUGAUACUUACCGGUCUAUCCGUGUAGCUCAGGCGCAUGAUGGUACUUAGAUAGUACGUUAUUACCUAUCCGUUGAGGUCCGAAUAUGAGACAUAAUGAGAUAUAUGAGAUAAUACUUACUAGUUUAUCCGUGUAGCUCCGGGGCAUGAUGGUACUUAGAUAGUACGUCAUUGCCUGUCUGUUGAGGUCCGGAUAUGAGAUAUGAGACAUAUGAGAUGACAUUUCGUUGUCUACCCGUUGUAGCUCUAGGGCAUGAUGGUUCCCUGAUUGCCCAUCCGUCGAGGUCCGGGUAUGACGAGAUUAUUCCCGUGGGUACUUGUUUGAUGAUAGUUUUCGGUAUUCAAUGUUCGAUAUCAUAAGUGUUAUGAUUUAUGAAAUUUUUUUAUUCCAGUGUAUGAUUUAAAUUAAAUAAGUUUAUUUAACGCCUCAUGAAAUUUUGAUGGGAUUGUUUAGAGAAGAAUUAAAUUAUUUUUAAGUAAAUUUAUUUUUCAAAAACUACUAUCCACUCACUGAGCUCACUGAGUUUUAUACUCACCAUGUUUUUAUUAUAUUUUUCCCCCCAUAAGAGACUUGCAGGUACAUCAGUCGACCCAGCAACGAUAGUUAGAUUUGAAAUUAUGGCCACAUGAUGGUGUUAGGAAUCAUAGAUGUUAUGUUGGGAUAUUUUGAAUUGUAUAAUUUAUUAUUUAUUUGUGAUUAAGGAUAAAUUUUUGUAUUCUUGACAUUAUAUGUUUGAAGAAUACUGGUAUUUGAUUGAGGAAGUUGGUUGUGUAGGUUGAUUGAAUAUUGUAUCACUUUUGGGAGUGUUAAUUUUAUAAAUUACAGGUUUGGGGAUGUCACAAUUAUAUAUGAGACUUUACUGGAUUUUUUGUAGAAUUAUUAGAUAUUAUAAUUAUUAUUAAUUCAUUUAGGCGAGAUUAGAUAGAGUCAUCCUGGGGGUUUAGGGGGGGGUCAUUUCAUGCUCAUUAUGCCAAACAGUAAUGAUCUUGCACUAAGGAGCCAAUAUAUCAUACAAAAUCUAGAUAAGAUUAUUACUGUCUAUCAAUGAUAAGCCAAAACAAUCCAUUGAAAAGAGAGAGAGUUAAUAAACUUAUCAUAUUAAGCCCAUGGAUCAUGUUGAGGCUUCACUCUCCACUCAAGCUUGAAGUUAAAUUAGCCACUUAAAUCGAACUAGCUAUAUAAAAUGAUAAUUUUAUUAUAAAAUGAUAAUUUUAUACUAAAAUACGUAGAAAAUACAAGAUGGAGAGAGAAUUUUAGAAAAUAGAAUUGUCAAAUUAGGGAGAAGUCCUCUAUCUACAGAUACAAUGGGUAAAUCAUGGCCAUCAAAUGAAAAUAACUCAAAUGCUCAAGAUUGCACCAUGUGACAAGCUCUUAUUGAACGAAACAUGUUACCAAAGCUAUGAUUCAAUGAAUUACAUGUAAGGCACGCUUAGUUUUUUGGUUUAAUAAUAUGCUGCCACAUCAUCUAUCAAUAUAAAAGUCAACUAGCAUUGAUUCAGUGUAUUGCAUGUAUCGUAAGCUCAAUUUUUGGUCCAAUAGGAUGCUGCUAUGUCAUCAGUCAACAUAAUAGGAUGAAGCCACAUCAUCGGUCAAUGCCACAUCAAUUGGGCCCACUAAAAUCGUAAAAUUAUGAUUUUGCCCUUUAUAUUUUUCCUAAGAUUUUUAGUUAUUCUAAGCUCAAAAAUACUAUCUAUUAUGCUGUCCAAUUUCUCAUUAACUGUAAAAUAACCAAAAUACCACUAAAAUACAUAAAAUAUUCAAUUAUACAAAAACACGCGCAAUCAAAGUUUAAAAAACUUAAAUACAUAAAAGUAGAAAUUUUAAUGAGACUUGGAGUGCAAAAUGAUGAUUCUAACCUUUUUAAAUAGAUAGCAUUUUUUACCUUAGAAUCUUUAUAAGGCAAGUCUCAUAGCAAAAAAAUUUGUUUAGAAGAAAGGUACUUUCUCUCUAGUUGUAAAAUAUACUUUUGUUUCUAUUCGACUUUCUUACAUAGGGAUAUAGAGGAGGAGAUCUAAAUGACUCAAUUUUCUGGUUUCAAAGUUGCUGAAAGGAGAAUUAUAUGUGUAGGAUGGUUAAAUGAGAUUUGAUCAAGGGCAUAAUUCACAAGAAAUUAACACAAUUACUAUGUUUACUUUAGAAGACUACAAUAUGAAGCUUUCAUCCAUUUAUUACUCUAUAUCAAUGAAAGGCUUAUAGCUUUCAAGGAAUAGAGAUAAACUUGAGAAAGCAGAUGGCUUUUGAGAUUGAGAUGAAAGACUUGAUAAUGCAUAGAGAAUACUUGGGAUGGAGAUUUCGUAAAGACAAGAAGAACGAGAGCGUAUAAUUUACUUAAGGGUCUAUUUUUAGAAAAGGGGCUAGAAAGGUUCGGUAUAAAUGACAAAGAUUAAACUAAUUUGUACUUCUUUAGCUCCUAAGCUUCAUGUCAUUCUCCUCAAGUGGAACAUGAGUACAUGGUUCACGUUCAUAAACUUGUGCUAUAGGUAGUCUUAUAGAUGUGAUGAUGUGUAGAAAGUCUGAUAUAUCUGAAGCAGUGAGCAUAGUUAGUAGAUUCGGAUAAAAUUCUCUAGCUUGCUAUGAUGUGGAUUCUCUUAUAUGAGUAUGGGAUAAUUUGUGAAAGCAUUUCUUUUAGGAGUCAUGAACUACUAUCGGCUUGAUCCCAGUAGUUAAGUAUGUAAGCAGUCGAAGCGACACAACCAUUUUGGAUCCUUAAUGGAGGAUCACUUUAAGGAUGUUGAUUCAUUGAUAGUCCGCUCAAAUUUAGAUAAAUAUUUUUGAGGUGGAGAAUUGUUGAAAAGUCAAAAGUAAAAGGGGGCUCACAUGUUGGAUUCAUUUUGAAUACACCGAAAUCCACGUGCCUUUCUUGAAAAAAUCAAGAAGAGUUGGAGCCACAUGUUGGCAAUUUGGAAAAGUUGGAGCCAUUUGUCAAAACAAAAAAAGAAAUUGGUUGCCAAUUUCUUAAAAAUUUGUUGUGAAAAUUAAAUGCAUUCAUGGUAAGGCUUAGCUAUAAAUAGAGAAGUUAUUCUCAUUUGUAAAUCGUUCAAAAAAAUGUAGAAUGUGAGAGCUUAGGUGAAGAACUCUCUUAGAAAAUGUAGAGAGAGUUCAUUACGAGAGAGUCUAGAGAAAUGGAGCAUCUACAAUUGAGCUCUUAGAAAGUUUGGAAGAGUGUUUCGUUGGGUGCUCAGUUGGGUUUUGCACUAUUUGUAAAAGUGUGAGAGAAUGUGUGUCUUGCGAAAAUUGUUUCCUUCAAGAGUGUAUGAGAGUACUAGGUGUAUUUAAGUAUUUGGGAAGUGAGAUUUCGUUAUCAAAUUUGUACUAUAUUAAUUAUUAGUAAGAUAAUAUUUCUCUCUUGCUUCUGUGGAUGUAGGCCUUAUUGUUAAACCACGUGAAAUUCUUGUGUCCUUUAUUUUUUAUGAAUAUUUGGUGUGUACUGAUUCUCCAUUUGCGCACUUGUGGUAUCAAACCAAAAGAAAUGACACUUCCAUAACACAACAGCAAGAAACUACUAUGAUGCAAAGAAUGUUAUAAGAGAUGCAUUUGUCUAUUAAUUGUACAAUAGUUUUCUUGAGAAUUGUCCAGUUCUAUGAUGCAAUUUGCAGAUUGUGAAGACUAAUGUACUUUUAGUUACAUUAAAUUUGCAACAAAAAUAUGUCACUAAAAUGUUUUGAAAUUGAUUGGAUGGUACUAAGAGACUCAAGUUCUCAUUCCAGUGUUCAAAUCUUUAGAGUAGGAGUUGGCAAACCGAACUGGACCCGAAGUAUUAUCAGUUCGAUUCGAGUUUUUUCUAGUUCAGUUGGGUAUUAUUCUCAGAAAAAACUGAAUAUUUUGGUUCAAAAUAAAACUCAAUACUCCAGUUGGGUUUUUAGUUCAAAAUUUCAAAUCUAAAAAUUGAACCAAAAAACCAAAAAAAUAAAUGAAAGAAAUGCCGUGUGGCGUUUAGAGAGGAUAGAAUUAAAUCGGUUCAAUUAAGUUUUUUCAAUUUUGGUUCCGCUUUUUCCAUUUCGAUUCGAUUUUUUAUAACUCAAAAAUUGAAUGGAUUAAUACCGAAGCGAAACCAGUUUUUUAAAAUUCCCAAACUAAACCAAAGUAGUGCCCAUCCCUACUUUAGAUUAUAGGACUCUUGAAGAUUGUCUUCAUGGUUAGCCAUAAUAUUUGGAACUUUCAUAAAUGAAAUAUAAGCUGAAAAUUACAAUAGGGACAGUAAAUUAUAUUGCUUAUCUCCAUAUUGGAUUCCUUUGGCCAAUUAUAUUUAGAGAUAUCAAACCAUCAAGUAUCUUAGAGAAGACCACAUUGCAAAACUAUUUGAUUUUUCCCUAUUUGUAUAUAUUCGAGAGGGUGAAACUCAUGUGAAAGAUACAGUAAAAGUGACAUGGACUCGUAACACUACAAUACUUUAUUAUGGUUGAUAUCAAUGAAAAAUGCGAUGCUUUUACCUUUAGUAUAUAGCUACUUAAUCUUUUGGUUGGAAGAAUUGCUGAACUUCCUCAUUUUAAUGCUAGUGGAGAUGAAUGGCUUUCAGUAAAUUAUGUGAAAGAAAUAUCAAACAUAAUAAAUUUAAUAGCAAGGUAGAUCUCAUAAUUCUUGGAACACUGAAAGAACAGAUUUUCCAAGCUUUUACAAAGCUUGCCCUUAACUGUGUCUCUAAAUCAGCAGAAGAUAGGCCAACAAUGGUUCAUAUGGCAAAACCACUUACAAAAUUUUAUCACUCUAGUUCCUCGCACCCUAGUUAUUCUCAUUAUUAAUAAUUUUUAAGCUUUGACUGUUUAGUUUUAUACAAAAUGAGUGAAUUGUGGGACCGUUAUUUUGAUUAUGGAUCUUUCCUUCUACGUAUCUUGUUGAUAGUUUAUGUUUCACUAAUUGCACCAACUUUAGUUAAUGCAAUUAAAGAGCUAAUAGUGAUUUGUUUGACGAAAAAAAAAUGUUCUUUUUUACUUUUACAUUAUCUGAUAAAGAAUUGUUAUGAAAUGAUUAUUUGGGACAAAUGUUAUGCUUCAGUUUACUUAACUUCUUGAUAGUUCAAUGGAACACAAUUAAAAGCUUUACACCAUCGGAGUAAAUGUGAUGAAUCAAUGAUUGUAUGAGUCUUGUGUUAAGUCAAAAUCAAUUAUUUAGGACCAUAAUUGAUAGCCCCGAGGACAGGAUGCAUAGUAAUGUAUGGCUUCGUUUAUGUCACAAAUGUCACAUUAAUCAUUGAACACAUGGUGAUGAGGAUUACUAUUAAACUUUCAAUGGCAAAGUUUCAAUUUAUAGACUGUCAUAUCAAAGCUCUCUCUCAAGCUUUUAAAGGCAUUGGGUUUUCCUUAGCUGAACACACUUGAAUUGGCAAGCUAGAGAUACAACUUUUAAUACUCUAUUUCUUUUUCUUCAGUUACUUUGCGUGUAAUUUACCUUUAUUUUUUUUUCCAAUGAUUUCAUUCUAGAAUUACAAGUUGUACUCCUUGUUUUAUCUUGCUUUAACUCAAUAAAAGCAUUUUAUUGGCUUAUGAAUAGGUGUUAGAUGAGUUCUUUUUUGAGAAAUAAAAUCAAGCGUUCAGAAAAGGUAGAUAAGCAAACAUUUAUGAUAAGGAAUGAAAACAAUUUACAAGAAAAAUUCAUUAUCACAUGUAAUAAUAAAGGUGAUAUGAAGAUGGCCGGUGAAUCAAACCAAUUCUCUAGAAAAUGACAAUGUUUGAGACUUGAGAAGCUUUAUAAAGUCACGUGCUACUCAUAUUACAUAUAACAGAAAAAUGUCUUCACGAAACGACAUGCCAAUUGUGUGUUUUGGUCAAUAGUUUAAGUAACCGCGUGAGGAAACAUGUGUUGGAGCUUGAUUUCAUGUUAGUUAAGUUUGUUAACCACGUGUUAACAAAUUGUACAAUCUGGAAAUAAGUCUGUUAUUGAAAUAAGGUAUAUAAGCUGGUUUUGAUAAUUAUCUUCAGGUGUGAUUCUAAAGUCUUGGAGAAAGAGAUUUAAGAAAGAGAAAGCAUUAUCUUGUUCUGGUGUAAGGCUCUAUAACCGACUCUAUUAUUGAAUCAAUAAAAGCUUAUCUAAAAGCUUAUUGAUCGAUUCUUGUUGAUGUAUUGAUAAUGAUUUGAUAUGUUUAAUCUUGUAUUUGUGCAACUUGAAUUUAUUUGAUCAAAGAGAUCUUGGGCAGUGAUCAGUUUUCUUUAGUUUAAAAACAAGUUUGUUACUACAAUUAGUUUCAGAGCUUAGUGUCUUUUGAUCAGAUCCAAGUACGGCAUCAUCCAAGGUUGAUAUAGAGAAAUUUACAGGUAAUAAUUAUUUAAUAUAUGGAAUAUUAAAAUGGAAACUUUGUCGAUUACUCAAGGUUUGGUAAAUGUAAUUGAGCCUGAGACCAAGAAGGAGGGAAUAAAAGCUUCUUCAUCCAGGACUCCAGAAUAAGCUACUAAAAUUGAUAAGAAAUCCAUAAGCACUAUAAUCCUUAGUCUUGGUGAUUUAGUCAUUAGGGAAGUGGCAAAAGAAAAAACAAUAGCUGGUUUAUGGACUAAGCUUGAAUGCCUCUAUAUGACCAAGUCUCGUGCAAACAAGCUCUAUAUUAAAAAGAGGAUGUUUACCUUGAGAAUAGUGGAGCGAUCUUCACUGAAAGAUCACACUGAUAAGUUCAAUAAGGUGUGUGAUAUUUUAAAAGCCAUUGAUGUUGAAGGGAAGGCUCUCUUAUUGAUUAGUUCAUUACCAAAAUCCUUUGAGAAUUUAGUUGAUGCCCUGGUGUAUGGUAGAUAAACCUUGACCCUUGAUGAAAUGAAAUAUGCUCUCAAUACAAGGGAGCUCCAAGAAAAGUAAGUUCACAUAGAGAAUGGUACGAGUGAAUGAUUGACAACAAAGGGGAAGAUAGGCAAAAAAAAGAAGUACGUGAAAUAAAAUAAUAAAACUAAAAAUCUGAAGUAUUUUUCAGUGCCACAAAAAAUGCCACUUUAAAAGGGAUUGCCUUGAAAGAAAAAAAAAAAAACAAGGCCAAAGAUUCAAGAAACUAAGGUGGAGAUGCAGCUGUAGUGGAAGAGGAAAGUUAUGAGUCUACUAGUGUAUGUGUGGCAAUAGAACAUAGCUAAAAAGGUAAAUGGGCUCUAGACUUUGUAUGCACAUUUCACAUAUGUCCCUUUUAAGAGUUACUUUACUGAAUAACAAGAAUUUGAUAGUGGGAGAAUGAUGAUGGGUAACAAUUCAAUUUGUAAAAUCAUUAGAAUUGGUAAUCUUAGUCUUAAGCUACAUGAUGAUUCAAUAAGAGUGGUUAAGCAAGUCAGGCAUGUACCAAACUUAAAAAGGAACUUAAUUUCCCUUGGAAUGUUAUAUCAAAUGGGGUGUAGCGUUAGGCUUGAAUCAAGACAGUUAUAUAUCUUAAAUGGUUCUAAUCUGGUCAUGAAGGGGACUAGGUAGAACAGGUUUUAUAUCUUGGAUGAUGAAGUGAUAUUUGGAGAGGCAUGUGUAUCAAUAAAGCGUACUGAAGAUAAAACUAGGUUAUGGCAUAUGAGAUUAUAACACGAGUGGGAAAGGCUUAAAAAAGUUAGAAAAACAGGGUAUGUUUUGUUCUGACAAGAUUAUAAAUCUGGAUGUGAGGUACAAUUUUCUUAAAUAUAGUAGAAUUUAUUUUUUUAAGCUAACAAGCCCCUUAAGUUUAUAAUAUUUAAUUAAUGAUGACAUAAGCAAUGACAUAAGAAAUGAUGACGUAAGCGAUGACAUAAGCGAUGAUGUAAGAAGAAGUGUAGAGAAAGUUAAGAAUUAUAGAAUUUAGUAAGUUAUUUAUGAAGGUUAAUCUCAACCAUUGAUCAAGAGUUAUGGUGGCAAAAUCCUAACCAUCUAUUAGCCUUAAGAAAUCCUAUAAAUACCCCAACCACCUUUCAUUUUCAAUCCAACCUAUAAAUUUCAUUCUCUUCUAUUCUAAGUCAUAAUAUCAAGAGUAGAGAAAUCAUCAAUUUAGAAAGGUCUAGAGAAGUCAAGGUCAAGAGGUAAGUAACACUUCAACUGCAAUGUAGGGACAAAAUUCAUUUCAUACUUAAGUUCGGUGUUAACAAUUCCUUUAUAUUAUGAUGGCUAUUAUAACAUGAUUAGUUAUAUUCUAAAUCCUUAAAUGGUCGGCUCUGCCACCUAAUAUGUGAUACUUAUAUUUAAUUAUGCUAUAGUCGGCUAUGCUGCCUGUAUUGAAGAAUGUUGUUCUUAAAUAGUGUUGUGUGUUAAUUCUGUUAUGCAUUUAGGAGCUCAAAUGUUAGGACAUAAGUUACAUUAUGAAGAAGAUGUUUCAGAAAAAUGAAUUUAUGAAAAAUAGGUAGUUGUACUACCAGGUGGCAAAGUUCUAAGGAGGGCAACCCCUCAAAGCUAAGUUAAAAGAAAUCUUUUGGGGACGGCAAUACAUAACACCCAAAAGAUCAAUUAAUGAGACCUAAGGGCAUAUUGUUUAAAGAAUAAAAGUGUCAGCCUUGUAGUGCAACAUACCUAGGGCCCUAAUAAAGUUGUUUUGUAUUUUCUAAGUUUAUUUUAAGAGCUUACUAUGGUCAUCUAUAUACAUCAUAAUUUAUACAUGCAUCAAAGUGUUAUCUUACUGGGCAUUAGCACACUAAGUCCUUACAUUGCAAGUAACGAUGAGUAGGGCAAGCUGGCGCCAAGUCCUAAUCAAGACGAAGUGCAUAUGGGCAUGAUAGACCUUGGGAUUUUAUAAUGGGCUCAGCUUUGUUUCAAUAAAAAUAAACAUCUUAGUUUUGUAUAAAAUAAAGUUUUUAUACUAAGGAGUUUCUGUAUGACUCUUACUUUUUGUAAAAAAGGUUUGUUUGUUGUAAACUCUUAGAAUUCGUAUUUAUAUUAAAAGUAUUUUAAGUAAAUAAUCUAGUGGAGUGUUACACUGGAACUUUGUAAGGACUAUGUUCUAAGGAAGUCUUCAAGGGACAGUUUCAAAAGAUCAACUCAGAAAUCAAAUGAGAGAAUAAAGCAUAUUGAUGUGAAGUUGUAUUUUAUAAGAUUAGAAGUAUUAACAAAAUGUGUGAAGCUUAUGAAGAUACAUACAUAAGAAAAUCAAGCUGAUAUGCUUACCAAAGUUGUACCAUCUGCUAAGUUUAAUCUUCGCAUGACUUAACAAAGAUUUGUAGGUUUUAAUGGCUACAAGUGUUGAGGAAGAUAGCUGACGAGAGUAGUUAAAGUUAUGAGUUCAAAGUGGAGAAUGAUAAGUAUGAACUCAAAACUCAAAUGAUUGAUAUGUAAUUUUGAGGAUUCAUGCUUGUAUGACAUAUCAUUGUUAGAGUUGUAGCGUAGAACCAAUGUGGUUGAGUGUUAUUGUGAAUUCAAAUGCUAUUGGUGUCAAUGUACAAGUGUACACAAUAAGUAAUAUAAUCAUAAGUAUUUAAGAUCAUCUACACAGGGAUUGAUGUUACCAGAUUUAAUACAUCAAGCUGUAACAGUGCAAUGGUUGUUCUAAAUUUAAAUACGAAAAUUGAUAAAAUUAAAUAACUAACUAAAAUAUAAAAUGCAAUAAUUAAAAAUUCAAUAAAUUAAAUUCUCACGUCAAACACAAAAGUAAACCAAUGGGAAUGAAGUAGUUGAGUGAUUAAACUUUCUUAAUGGUUUUGACUAUUUCUUGUAAUUUCUGGUUCAGUUGCUAUAGCAUCUGCUACAACAUUGGGCAGAAUCCUUAUAUAUCCUUAGUUGUGUCAUGUUUGAUGUUUUAUAUCUAUAUGCAACCGAACAGUGACCAAUUGUUAUGCCAACAUAAGAUAUAGCAUUACACACUUAGGUUCUAUUUACCCUAAAAGGUGAAUCCCUAUGUCUAGUUUAUCACUAAUUUUAGAUUAAGCAUGACCCUUUUGGAAUCAAGUGAAACUCAACUCAGGAAACCAAAUCUAAAAUCAAGUAUUGCUCUUAUAUGUUCCACUAAGAUAGGCCCUUUUGUGGCUCUUUCUUAGCUUGUAUCAUUAAAUGAGUUCUCAACCGAAAUAAUGAAUAGAAUAAGCUUUACUAAAACAAAAUGUUAUAGCAAACAUGCAGCAACAUAUAAACUUAGUCAAAAAACCAUUAAGAUUAUCUAUCACUCAACCACAAUUAAAUUAGUUCAUGGUUUGCGAAAGAACAAUAAAUAAAUGAGUUUCAGUCAUUAAAUACAUCCCAAUGAAUAAAUAGAAAAUAAGAAAAGAAUAAAAAAGGUUGAAUUCCCGAUUGAUUUCUGCAAAUUCUCCUUGUUGCAGCCCUUAGUUUAAAUCUUUAAUUCUCUUUAAUUCUCUUUUUGUUGGUUAUUUAUACUCAAUUGCCGAGUUUCAGUCAUAAAAUACAUCCCAAUGAAUAAAUAGAAAAUAAGAAAAGAAUAAAAAAGGUUGAAUUCCCGAUUGAUUUCUGCAAAUUCUCCUUGUUGCAGCCCUUAGUUUAAAUCUUUAAUUCUCUUUAAUUCUCUUUUUGUUGGUUAUUUAUACUCAAUUGCUAUUAAUGUCAAUGUGCAAGUGUACACAACAAGUAAUAAAGUGAUGAAUAUUCAAGAUCGUCUCCACAAGGACUGAUGUUACUAGAAAUGCUACAGCAAUCACGAUAGUGUAAACUUCCUUUAGUUCAAGAGGAAUCUAGUUAAAGUUGAUUACUACCAAAAUUAACAAUUGUAAGAAAAUAAAACAAAUAAAUGCAGUAAUGAAGUAAACUAGAUGAAUUGCGUAAAAAGAAUUUAAUGGGAAUGAAGUAGUUGAAUGAUCAAACUCUCUUCAUGGGCUGACUAUUUUUGUUCAAAUUAACACUAGUUGCUACAACAAUUCCUACAGCACUGGGCAUAAUUAUUUUGGACUUCUCAUACCCUUAAGCACCCUAACAAUGACCAGUUGUUAUUCCACCCAAGGUAUGGCAUUAUGAACGUACACUCUCUCUACCCUACAAGGUGAAUUCUUAUAUCUAGUUCUUCACAAAUCUUAACUAAAGUGUGGCCCUUUUGAGACUCAAGUCAAACUCAAUCCAGAAAAGUUAAAUUAAGAUCAAGUAUUACUCUAAUAAUUUCCACUAAGACAAACCCUUUUGCGGCUCUCUCUUAACUUGAACCAUUCAAUAGGUGCUCAAUCAAAAUAAUGAUUGUAAUAAAAGCAAUCAAAGUAAAAUGUUACAGCAAUCUUGCAGCAACUCAUAAGAACAGUCAAAAACUCAUUGAGAUUGUUUGUCACGCAACUACAAUCAAAUUUAGUUCAUACUUUGAAAAAGAAAAACAAACAGCAAAGUAGCAGCCAUGAAAUACAUCGGUUCAAUCAAAGAAUAAGAAAAGGAACAAGUAAAGAACGAUGAAAAUUGAAUCCAAAAAUAGUUCUGCUAAUUUCUUCACUGGUGCAGACUUGUUUUCCCUUGAACUUUGAUUUUUCCUCUUGAUUCCUUCAAUGUUAAUUCCCUGCCGCUUUUUCAUAUGAUGUGUGCUCUUUUUAUAUUUGAAAACUAGGGUAAACAGAAUCCUAGGGUGAGCAUAAGUCAGAUUAGGAAACUGCAGAUCGCGAUUUUGCAUAUAUCCCGUGCUAAAUUUUCUCUGUCGUUGUUCCAGGAUUGCUACAGUAAUGGUUGCUCCAGCAAUGACUACAGCACUACAUUGUUCCAGAUUUUGUUUCAAUUCUUUUAUAGCCAUGUUCUUCCUCCUUUUCGCAAGCCUAUUACAUCAGCAUUCCUUCCAUGAAAUAUAAGCUCCUGGAUACCUACACUUAUGCACACAAUUUGAGACGAAUUACUCUAAGUCAAGCAAAAUUUAUUAAGAUUAAACUAAAAUGAAUGUUUAUGCAAAAUGUAACAAAAAUACAAUAGAAACACAUCAUUUCCUCUCUAAGUAAUCUUGAUUUGAGUCUAAAAUCGCUAUAAUAACUCUCAUUUCAUAGAGUUAUCACUUUUCAUAUUGGGCACAUAGUAAACAUUCAAAAUCUGCUGUACCGUACAUCCGCCUUGGCCGUACAGCAGCUUGCGAAAAUUGUUUUGUUCAAGAGUAUAUGCUGUUUCAAUUCUUUUAUAGCCAUGUUCUUCCUCCUUUUCGCAAGCCUAUUACAUCAGCAUUCCUUCCAUGAAAUAUAAGCUCCUGGAUACCUACACUUAUGCACACAAUUUGAGACGAAUUACUCUAAGUCAAGCAAAAUUUAUUAAGAUUAAACUAAAAUGAAUGUUUAUGCAAAAUGUAACAAAAAUACAAUAGAAACACAUCAUUUCCUCUCUAAGUAAUCUUGAUUUGAGUCUAAAAUCGCUAUAAUAACUCUCAUUUCAUAGAGUUAUCACUUUUCAUAUUGGGCACAUAGUAAACAUUCAAAAUUAUUUGGUGGCUACCAUCUUUUGCACGAAAAAAAAUGUUACCUCUACCCUUCACUGGUACUUUUGAAUCAUCUCCAAAAGCGACAAUGCUAUUCACAGAUUCAUUUAGUUUCAUGAACAUGCUUCAGUUUCCGCUCAUAUGAUUGCUAGCACUUGUGUCAAGAUACCAUGUAUUUUCUUGACCUCCACUUGUGUCAUUGCGUGCUAGUAAAAUAGUGUCAUCUUUACCAUUUUUCUCUUCAACAUAAUUCACUCUCUCAUCAACUCUGGUACUUGGAGCUCUACAUUCUGAAGCAUAAUGCCCAAACUUUUGACAAUUAUAGCAUUGCACUUGGGAUUUGUCAUACCUCAAUCUUGGAUUGCCUCUACCUCAUCCUCUGGUUGAGCUUUCUCUGUUGGCAUAAUUGGAGUUGCUGUUGUUGAAAUUCCAACCUCGUCCAUGACCACGACCUCUACCUCAUCCUCGACCUCUACCUCGGACAUAGUGUCUUCUCUCAUUGUCGGAGCUUUCUUCUCUUUUUUUUGGAUUGACUUCCAUCUUGAGAAGUUUUUCUUCGAUUCCUUGCUUCUUUUUUAGUUUUUCUUCAUAUGCUUGCAACCUUCCUUGAAGUUGCUCGAUCGUCAUAUCCUUCAGAUCUCUUGUUUCUUCAAUUGUCACAACAAUAUGGUCAAACUUCGAGUCUACUAAUCGAAGUCUCUUUUCAAUGAUCCUUACCUCUUUUAACUCAUCGCCAUUUCUUUUUAAUUUUUUAGAAACGGUCAUAACCCGAGUAAAGUAGUCAAAAAUUGACUCUGACGCCUUCAUGUGUAAGGACUCAAAUUCUCUUCGUAAUGUUUGGAGACGAACUUUCUUAACUUGCUCCGCUCCUUUGUAAGAGGUCUCUAGUUUCUCCCAUACUUCUUUUGAGGAGGUUGUACUAGCAAUCUUUUCAAAAGCAUCUUCAUCUAAUGAUUGAAAGAUGAGAGACUUUGCUUUAUUCUCUUUCUUCUUAAAGUUUUUUAAAUUCUCCUUCUGCGAGGCAGUUAAAGUGGCUUCAUUUUCUGGCACAAUAAAACCUUUUUCCACGAUAUCCCAUAUGCCAUGUGCACCCAAUAGAGCCUUCAUUUUAAUACUCCAGUUGUUAAACUUUCCUUUAAUUGUGGAACUUAAAAUGACAUCAUACCACUAUUUUCCAUAACUCACAAAUUAAGUGAGAAUUUGGAGAUUCUGAAUGCACAGAUGGAUCCGGCACGUCGAAAAACCUUGGGAGGGACUCGAGUCAACUUUUGGUCAACAGUCAACAUCGGUCAACGGUCAAUGUCAGUUUGGUUGACUUUGUUCUAUCCGGCUUGGUUCGGCUCGCGUUGGCUCGGUUCGACUUGAUUCGGUUCAGCUCCGCUUGGCUUGAUUCGGUUCGGUUCAGCUUGGUUCAACUCGGUGAGUCGACUUAGUUUCAGGACAGAAAAAUUCCAACGGCUUGUGUGGGCACGUCCGGUCUCCAAUAUAGAUGAUCUUUACGGUGUCGCAUACCUCUCAUCGAGAGCUUCGAUUUAAUAUGCUAUAUGGCUAUAUAUAGCUUCGAACACUAGCUCUAAUAAAUAAAACACACAAAAAAUACACUAUUUUAUUUCUUCAACAACACUCCUCACCAAAUAAACAACUCUUAUUUUUCACUCUCUACAACUUAGAGAUUUUUGUUACUUCACUUGAUGCAUAAACCAAAGGGGAGAUGAGGUAUUUAUACAUGAAACAAACUAAUCACAACCAUUUAAAUAAGAAAUUACAAAAAAUUAAUAACCAUUCAUCUUCACCUACCACACCUAACACAAAUAAUUCAAAUCUCACCAACCAUACCUACUCAUGGAACCUUCCAUGAGUUGGGCUUGAAUUUAUUCAUCUUGGAUCAAGUUUAUGAUCCAACAGAUACUACGUUUCAUUAGUUGCAUCGGUAAUCUUUACGUUGGUGAAUUGUUUUUUUUUUUUUUGCCGUUGUAUUUACUUCAUAGUCAUCUUCAGGGUUAACUCACUAUGUCUUCUUGACUAGGUUCUUGGCUUUUAUUUAAUAAAUGUCUAGUAUUGUCGAGGUUAUUCCAAAAAAAAAAAAAAGAAAGAAAAAAGAGUGACCGUUUCAUCCCUCAUAGAUGUUUUUGUCAGAAUCUAUAGCAUUCUCCAUGAAUUCAGAAACAAUUACCCGAAUCCAUACCUGUAGCACGCGAAAGUGGAAGUGGAAGAACCAAGGUUGAAUCACCAUUCAAUUUGGUCGGAAAGCAAUCACAAAAUUGGAAGUCUUCUCAAAUCACAGCAUAAGAAAUUUAUAUGCAAUGGGGCUCGAAUUAUAGAGUUCCCAAAAGUCUAAAGUGAGUUCUCUGCACUUUUCAAAUCUCAACAAUAUUUUGUUCUUCGUGCUUUUAUAUCUACACAUAAAACUAAAUUCUGUGCAAUUCUUAUUUUAUGUGCGUAGAGAGAGAGGAAAAAAAAAAGGAGGUAGAGAGGUUAGUGAUAACCACCAUGAUUCAACUUCCUUUCAUCUUUUCUUUAUUUAUACGCUACUGCUAGUAAUUACUCAAGUGGUAAUUACUUCUAUAUGGAUUGGGUCCGAUCGGUUCAUCUUGUGCAAACCAUCUGGCAACUCCCCUAAGUCUAUCAAGUUGAUUUACUACUUACAUUCCCACUAGAAUUUUAAUUAUUUGCUUCAUCCCUACCAUUAGAAAUUAACGGAAGUAAUUGUGAAAGUAAGCAUAAAACAAUCAUUCAAAGUGUGAUAUUUUUAAAAAUUCAAAAUUAAAAUCUGAAAUAAGUUGUUAGGAUUAGAAAAAAAAUUGAAAAAUGAAUGGUUUUUUUUUUUUUUUGGAGCUAAACAGACCAAUCUUUUCCAUUUUCUCUUGGGUUAUAUUUCUGUACAAACAAAACUCUUCUCUUACCCGUGAAAUACUGUGUCACUCAUGAAACCCUUUCUCUUGUAGACAACAUCAAACCCAAAAAUCACCCACGACCGUUAACCAUCCAUACAUUCUGUUGUUCGAGACGUUUGUUUGAUGUGUGGCACAGCAUUUUGAUCGAAUCAGAUCGGUGAUAAUCAGUGGAGAUGGCUCCAAAAUCCUUCGAGGUUAGUUGUUCUAGGUAAACCUACCUUCAUUAUAUAGAAAAAAAUUGUUGUUGAUUUAUCUUUAUAAAUUGUAUAUGUUCGUAUAAAUAAGAAAUAAAGUUGAAAGCUUUACCUGUUUAAAACUACGAAGAUUUUGAAAAAUGAAAUGGGUAUUAUCUGUAAUGGGUUUGAAGUAUAGAAGUACUAGAACCCCUUUGCUUGAAAUGUCAUGAAAUCCUAUAAUGAGGGAUAGAAUUGUAAACGGACAAAAACUAUUGACUUUAUCUGUUAUCUUUUGACACAGAUGUAAUAGGUAAUAAAAAAUCUAGUGGAGAUGUAAGAGGUAAAUAAGACAUAUCUAUCAAGGAUGAAACAUUUAUUUUCCCCCCCAAAAAAAAACAUAUGUUGGAGUUUCCUUAGCUUUCCAAAUUGGUGGUACAACAUGGAGUAGCUUCUGGACUUUUAUUUCAUAAACAUCUUGCAUUGUCGAGGUUAUUAAAAAUAAAUAAAAUAAAAUAAAAAUCCAGUGGUCGGAGCUUCCUUAGUCUCUCCAAAAUCACUAAUACAACAUGAUAUGUGUUUUAAGCGGAUUUUGGUUGCCAGGAAGAUGGAUAAAAAUCUCACCAAAAUAAUGAAUUUAUUUUUAGGAGUUCGGGUACCUCACUAAAUCAUGGGAUAGGGGGCUGUUUUAGGCUUUAAGGGAGGUGAAGAAGAAGGGUGCCCAGGGUGGAUAAUGGCGAGAAGUCUAAAACGGAGUGAGUUGGUUUGAGAUAGUGUCAGCACACCUGCAAAAUAGCCCAGGGAGGUUAGAGGUGGAGUCGACAGUGGCUGGUGACCACACUCCGAUGCUCAAGUCAGCUACUUAAAUUUUUAUGGAGGUGAGAGCUUGCAAGCUCUCUAAAAUGAAGGCUGAAGGUUGAAGGUUGAAGAAGUACAAGGUUCUACGUUCAGAGAAUGUUAUCAUCCUGUCAUCCUCAUUCUCAAUCUUGGCAUUCCCUCCAUGACUUCACUUUGUCGGAUUCUUUACAGAAGAUGCUAAUGGAUUCUCUAAUUAUUUGUUUCAUUGAUAUUUUUCUUUCUUAUAGUUAGAUUCUUUCAAGCAUUUUAAUAAUUUGCCUGCAGAACUUUGGCUACGUUUUGUUGUGGCACCAUGCACUGUUUGAGAGGCAAAGCGAAAUACAACCUUCUGAUUGUUAUCAUUUUCUUUGUCUUAGACCGUCGAGGUUUCUUAAAAUAAAUAAAUACGAUAGUAUUUAAAAACUUAAAGGACAUAUUACAUAUAAGCUCAAACACUAAUUUUUCAGAUAAUUUAAUUAGUUUUAGAAAAACAAACAAUGUAACAUUUAUAAUCAGAUAUUAAACGAUGAAAAACGAACAUAUCAUUUAAACUUAUGCAUUCAGUCAACAUCCGCCUUGGCCGUACAGCAGUUCAGUGCCACAAAAAAUGCCACUUUAAAAGGGAUUGCCUUGAAAGAAAAAAAAAAAAAAACAAGGCCAAAGAUUCAAGAAACUAAGGUGGAGAUGCAGCUGUAGUGGAAGAGGAAAGUUAUGAGUCUACUAGUGUAUGUGUGGCAAUAGAACAUAGCUAAAAAGGUAAAUGGGCUCUAGACUUUGGAUGCACCUUUCACAUAUGUCCCUUUUAAGAGUUACUUUACUGAAUAACAAGAAUUUGAUAGUGGGAGAAUGAUGAUGGGUAACAAUUCAAUUUGUAAAAUCAUUAGAAUUGGUAAUCUUAGUCUUAAGCUACAUGAUGAUUCAAUAAGAGUGGUUAAGCAAGUCAGGCAUGUACCAAACUUAAAAAGGAACUUAAUUUCCCUUGGAAUGUUAUAUCAAAUGGGGUGUAGCGUUAGGCUUGAAUCAAGACAGUUAUAUAUCUUAAAUGGUUCUAAUCUGGUCGUUGCAAACCGUUUCCUGGGAUUGAACCAGCCGCCUAAUGACAACAAUCACCCUCUUGCUGAGGCUCGACGCCAAUUACCCUCUUUCCAAUACAACCAAAAAGUAUUUUUUCCUUUUAUUUUUCAAUUAGUAAUGUUAAAGCUUGAACAAGGCUUAAGGAAAAUAUCAAGAUAUUUAUAGGGAAUAGCGCGUAAAAUACACCUACGCUCGUGAGCGCGUGCAUGUGUUUAUGCAUAUGUAAAUGUAAACUUAGUUAUGUUCUUUCAAAAUUUACCAACUCAAGCUCUCCAAAUUACUAAUUCAAGCAUCUUACAGAUUAUUUUACCAAAUUAUUGAGAACUAGAAAACAACAACAUUAAUUAUAAAAAAUCUAAGCGUAUCUGACUAAUUCUAACUACUAUACAAGUUACCAAUUGCCUUCUAAGGGCUUGGUCGAGUGGUUUUCAAAUAGUUUUAUUUAGUUGGUCAUCAGAGUUCAAAUUUUGCGCAUGUAGAAGGUUAAAAAAAUGAUUGAGGUAUUGCCCACCUCUCUAUCUUCGAAAAAAAAAAAGCAAAAAAAAAUGUGCCCAAUGGGCAUGGCCAAGUAAUUUUCUAAUAGUUUUAUUUUCAUUCUCUUAUCCUUGCCAUUCGUGAGCUGCUCAGCAGGGACUGGGUCGUGAAAGUGAACCACAUCUAUCGAGAAGCAAACAUAGCGGCAGAUUUUCUGGCCUCAUUUAGUUUGUCUUUUCCUUUAGGCUUGCAGUUACUUACUGUUGCUCCUCCUAAUUUAUAGAGAAUUCUUCAUAACGAUAUGUCUGGGGUUGCCCACUCCCGUUUAUUGGUGCUUUAGCUCUUUUAGAGCCCAUUAUUGAAAAAAAAAAAAAAUUUAGAUUUACCCAUUAUCCUUAAAAAAAAAAAAGCAAAGAAAAUUUUGAUUUUGAUUUAGACUAAAUAUAAACUGAUUUUAAGGGUAUAUUUUUCUUGAGUCCUCGUUUGUAGAAAGAAAUUCACACCAAAAUUUUAAAAAAUACAUUACUUAAGUCCUUGUCAAUACAAAUUUGUCUCCUUCAAGUUCUUGAAUGAAUUUCAUAAUUAAAAAAAAAAAUAGCGUUAUGUCAUUUUACUCAGAUUUAAUCGUUCAGUCUUCUUAUUUUUAAUUUUAUGCAUGACAGUGCCAAGGUUUCAAGCUGACUAAGGUUAGAAAACCUCAGCUUUUUAUAUUACUUGUUCUUUCCUAUUUUAACAGUUUCUUGUUGCUCAACUCUACUUCAUAAUUUUACAGGGUCCUUUGCUAUUAUAACCCCUCGUUCAACUUUAAUUUUGGAAAUUUUAAUUUGCUGAUAAAGGAUCUUGAAAGCCAAUAUAUAGACUUGUAUAAAGACAUAAGAUAUUGCGCUGAAAAUGAGAGAAAAAAAAAAUACUCCUGAAGUUAAAAAAUCUAAAGUAUUUAGUUGAAAGUGGGGACUUAUAUGUAUAGGGAAGAAAAAUAUGUGAUGAUAAAUAAUGUGAAAAACCUUCAAGUAUUGUGGUGUUAAAUCUAUUGUAAUUAUUGAGCAAUUGGAUUAAUUUUUUAAACUGUGAAAAAAUAACAAUUAGUAAACUCAGAUAAAAUAAGCUUUAAACCAUUAAUGCGAAAUAUAAGGUUAUAACUAGCCAGUUGAAGACAUGAAUAAAAUCAAUUUCAAUUUAGAAAAAAUAAAGUGACAUUUUAACAAACUAUGGUCAUGAGUUUCCUUCUUUUUUUUUUUUUUCCCUAUUUUCUCCGUUUUCUCAAAACACAUAAUUAAUAAGCAAGAGCAAACACUUUGUACGCUUUAAUAUACUUGAAUGUAAUUAUGUGACUGCAUGUGUGGUGAAGGAAAUAAAAUCUAUAAUUUUCAAGAAUUAGCACUUAAAGGUCUCAACUAAAUACCCUUAUUUUGUUCCUUCAUUACUUCCACUUACGGAUUAUUAUUUUGACAAUAUUGGAAGGCUUCAUUACUUCCAUAUAUGGACUAUCAUUGUACUAUUAUUAGAAGGCUUUUUUAAUUUGUUACCCAAUUAGUCUCACACGUGUAAUUAUGGUACUUCAAUGCUUUUUUUUUUUUUUCAUAUCAAUUAAUCAUUCUUAAAUUUUUUUCCAAAAAUAAUUUUUUUGCUAGAUUUUUUAAGUGAUAAUAUCAUCACUGUAGAUGAUAUAUUAUAAUAUUAACAAUAGUUGGUGUGGCAGACAACCGGGACAAACUCUAUUUAUUUAUUUAUUUAUUUUUAAUUGCACGUACCUUAAUGAAGCUCAAACUCAAGACCUGAGUCCUAAGGAAGCAGCUCCUUACCACAACUUGGCCUCAACUCAAGCGAACUCAUCUCUUCAAACUGGAAUACAACUUUAUCAAAGCCUAAUCAUUUCAUUAAGGUCCAACUGUGUCACCCCAAAGACACCGUUAAAUAAUUUAUUAAUUUUUAAUAAUUUUCUAAUUAUUUAAUAGUCAUUAUUCUUUUCGUUAGCCUUUUGUUUUCAAUUUCCACUGCUUUCAAUUUCCGCUGCGGUAGUCAUAUUCCGUUGAAUAAACAAAAUGAGAGAAUUCUCAUUUCAUAUACCUAUUUUUGGCACGCUCACGAAAAAGAGUUAUUUUAUCACAAAGUACUCACCGAGUAAUUUUCAAAUAAUUUUAUACACUACCACCAAAAUUUAAAUUCCAGAAGUAAUAGUUGGUGUUGUAAGUCAGGUUUGCGUAGGGAUGGCAAUGGAUUGGAUCUGAUCUAAAAUCCACGUGAUCCAAAUCUAAUUGGAUCAGAUUUGGGUCGGUUUAAAAUGAAUUUGGAUCGGAUUUGGAUAUCGAUGUGCGGAUCUAAGAUGGAUCUGGAGCAGGUCUGGAUCUAUCUUAAUAUCUAAAUCCAUAUCCAUAUCCACCAAUCUUUUAAUUUUAUUUUAUUUUAAAAGUUUCUUAACAAUUGUGGAAUUAUAAUGAUAAUAAAUUUUAUUCAUAGCACAUUAGUGAUAUUUACCAUACAUUUAAACUCUUCAAACUUAAAUGUUAGUUUUGUAAAUUUAAAGGUCAGCCAGCCCCAAAGCAUUUACAUAUAAUAUUCAAAUUGCAAGUCAAGUAAUACAACCUGGCAAUAUAUUUUAUUGUAUUGGCUAAAUAAUUUUUAAGGAAUAUAGUUAUUCAUAUAUUUAGUCAAAUAUGGUCAUAAUAAAAAUAAUAAAGCACUAAAUAUAAAUCAUAUUUAAUUUAUAUGUCAUUAUCUAAUGUUGUAAGAAUGAGGGUGGGUGUGUCGUGGAUAUUAGAAUGAUGAAGGAGACAAUAUAAUAUUAGAUUGAUCUUACUCCUGCAAUUACUUUUGAAUGAUAUUUUAUUAUUUUUCUUAUUUAUUGUUUUGUGUAAAGUAUAAGUUACAAUAUUUAUUAUAUUUUAAAAAAAAUAAUAUAAUUUAUUUGUUAUCAAUACAUUUUAGCCUUCAAUUUUCAUUCUAAAAAAUUAUCUGCUGUACGGCCAAGGCGGAUGUACGGUACAGCAGAUUUUAACUUAAAAAUCUGAAAACUAAUAUUUUUAUGUUUGCGUUCGUCCAAAUUAUAAAUGUGAAACAAAUAAUAAAAGAUUUGGAGUAGAUAUAGAUAUUUAUUUCUUUUUUGGAUUUGGAUAUGGAGCGAAAAAUAUAGAUUCAGGAUAGAUCUGGAGCAGAUACGAAUCUUAAUUUUUAUUAUAGAUAUGAAUCUAGAGCAGAGUAGAUCCAACCCAUAUCUGUCCCAUUGCCAUCCCUAAGUUUGCGAAGUGCUGGAUGUUCAAGCCACUUCUGACCAUGGGAUGUAUUUAGGUCUUACCUCUUGUAUUGGCAGGAAGAAAAAAGUUGUGGUCCAAAACAUUCGGGACAGAGUUUGGCAGAGAAUUCAAGGAUGGAGUACGAAGAUGCUAUCUAGAGCUGGCAAAGAGAUUUUGCUGAAAACGGUGGUGCAAGCAAUGCCUAACUAUGCCAUGAAUGUCUAUCUCCUCCCUCUUGAUCUUUGUUAAGAGCUUGAGAUCAUGAUGAAUUCAUUUUGGUGGGGUAGUAAACGCAGUGGUGGCAGUGGGGGGAUUAAUUGGAUGAAGUGGGAGCGGUUGUGUAAGCCGAAGGAUUUUGGAGGAAUAGGUUUCAAACAACUACAUAUCUUCAAUGUAGCAAUGUUAGGAAAACAGAUGUGGAAUAUUGGUAAACCCAAAUUCCUUUGUUGCCAAGAUUCUCAAGGCCCGUUAUUUCCCUAGAUCAUCUGUUCUUAAUGCAAGCUUGGGGUUCAAUCCAAGUUUUGUCUGGAGAUCCAUAAUGGCAGCGAAAGAUAUUGUUGUGAAAGGUAGCAGAAUUCAGAUUGGAAGCGGGCAGCAAGUCCUCAUUGGAAAUGAUCCUUGGCUUCCUAACUCUGAAUGUGGUUUCAUUACUACGGAGCUGCAUGAGGAGAUUAAGAUGGCGCCAGUUUGCAAUCUGAUGGUACCGGAUCAGCGUCGGUGGGAUUAUGAUGCUGUGACCGACCUAUUUAACCCUAGAGAUAGAGACCUUAUUCUACAAAUUCCCCUUAGCACUCGUAGAGACCUUGACUUAUGGUAUUGGUUGGCUGACCCUCGUGGUGUGUUCUCGGUUCGUAGUUGCUAUAAGUUGAUGACGUAUGAUGAUAAUAACUGUUCCUCCAGUGUGUGGAGACGUUUGUGAAGGUUGGAUGUGCCGGGUAAAGUGAAGAACCUCCUCUGGCGUGCUGCUAAUAAUGUUCUGCCUACUACUGAUAAUCUUCGGAACCGAAAAAUUCAGGUGCUGCCUCUUUGUUCCGUUUGUAAUGCCUAUAAUGAAUCUGUUAUUCAUAUCUUAGUGGAUUGUGGCUUUGCCAAAUCUUGCUGGAUUGCUUCUCCUGUUGGCUAUAUUGGUCAGACUUCUUCUUUUCUGGAGUGGCUUGGUCUUAUUUUUUCUCGGUGCAGUAAGGAGGAUUGUGAUCUUGCUGCUAUGAUCUGUUGGAAGAUUUGGGCUCAUCGCAAUGAUAAAGUUUGGAAUAAUAGAAGUGGGCGGGUUUAUCAAAUUCUUAAUUCUGCUGGCCAUCUUUUAUAUCAGUGGCAAUCCUUGAGAAAACAGGCCAUGUUUACUGAUGUAGAUGAGAGCAGUUCGGUUCAUGGGGCUGUGUGUUGGAAAAGACCUCAUGUUGGUUGGGUUAAAUGUAAUGUUGACGCUGCUGUGUUUUCUUCUCAAGCAAUGGUCGGUCUUGGCUGUGUGGUUAGAAAUUCUGAGGGCAUUUUCUUGACUGCAAAGUGUGAUAGAUUUCUGGGCAGCUUUGGGGCCAGAGAAGCAGAAGCUUUUGGUGUCCGUGAGGCUCUCAGUUGGUUAAAGAAGCUGCAAUUUCCUCGUGUGAUCAUUGAGAUAGAUUGUCUUCAAGUUUUCAAGGCCUUAACUGAGAACCAUUCAAGUCCUAAUGGCUUCGGCCUCAUUAUUGAGGAGUGCCGUUUUUUAGCUUAAAAUUUGGGAGAAGUGCAAUUCUCGUUUGUCCAUAGAUCUGCGAAUACUGCUGCCCAUAGUGUUGCUAGGGUGGGGGGUUCUAUGUCAGGUCCUCGCGAGUGGAGUUUUGUUCCACCUCGUUGGCUUUUGAAAGAUCUGUAAUCGCUUUUCUGUUUUAAUGAAUUUUCUUAAAAAAAAAAAAAAAAAUUCCAGAAGUAAUAAGAAUUAAAAUAUCAAUUUGACCAGGCCAACUCUACCUUCAAAAAAAAAUAAAAAAUAAAUAAAAAAGUGCCAUUUCAAGUAAAAAUAGUAAUCGAUUCACUUCUUUCUUAAAGGAAUAUGGUACAUGGUAUGUUGAAUAUGGUACUACAAUCUAAUCUGUCGGUGUAUCAGUAAAACCUGUAAAACUCUUCUAACUCCAGCUAUCUCCAACAACAUUAGCCUUCUCCGAGUGCAUCAAAGAUGUGCAACUGCAGCAAGCCAUCCUUCAAGAACUCCAGAGGAUCCCGACCAUCUUUUGUGUAAUUGUGUGAAGGAGAUGAGCAAGCAUCACUGCUGCCUUUUGUCUUCGUAAAUAUAAACAAGAAUCGGCGUAGAAGUAAACUUCCAUCCUGUCUACACAACACACCCCCAUUCUAAUAGCAGUGUUUGCAGAGAUUUCAGCAAAUGCUUUUCAUGCUUACCAGAAGCAACUGCUGUGUUGACAUCACGCAAAUAAGCCUAUUGCCAUCAAUUAGUUGAUUUUCUGUCAUUUUCUCCCAAAUUUCUUGUGUUUGUUAAAUUUGGAAGCAGAAGCGGGUGUAUAAACUGCUGUUCCAUCGUUUCUGCCAUUUGUUUUCUGCUCCAUCUUUCUCUUUCUCCUUGGUUUGGGCCCUUCAUUGAAACUCCUGUUGGUUUUCCCACCUCUUUUUAAUUGACCCAUCAUUAUCUUUUCAUGGUUAUAAUCCCCAGCUCUAUUUCCCAAUUUCAAACCACCAGUGCCCGUGGCUUUAUGAGGUUUGCUUGAGCGAUAAUUGUUUUUCUUCUCUCUCUUUCUCUUUUUAUGUUCUGUUGAACCAUUUACCUCAGAUAAUACAUCCAUUUCCUUGCGUUUCUUCCUAUGAGGCCUACAAAUACACAGUUUUAUAGUUCAUUAGUAAACAUUUAAAAAAAAAAAAGUGGAUUCCAGAAAGAAAUUCAAGCAUAAGAGAUCAGACCAUUUUGCAGGUGAGUGGAUUCCAGAAAGAAAUUCAAGCAUAAAAAAAAGUGGAUUCCAGAAAGAAAUUCAAGCAUAAGAGAUCAGACCAUUUUGCAGGUGAAUCUGAGGUCACUGUCUCUGUACCAGUGCCAACUUCCUUAGGACCUGAUUUAUUCUGACGGUUCUGCAAUAAGAAUGCAUGAUAUCCAGCAAUUCACAUCAUCAUGCAUCGUAAUAUAAUUCUUUAUUGCACACACUAGAAAGAACUUGAAAGGCUACAAAUCGAACCAACAAUAUAAGCUGUGAAAGCACAUUACAAUCUGCUGGAGGUGUAGAUUAAGUAUAAAUGUUGAAUCACAGGUCUGAAAUGUGAUAAACAAAGAGUCAGAAAAUAAAGACGAAAGAAAGAGUGCAUAGGACAAGAUCCCAAUCAAGCAUACUGGAUGCAAAGGCUAUUGGACAUUACAGGUGCAAUUUGAUGCAGAAGAUGAAACGACUUGUUUCAAAAAAGUAUUUUGUCCACUGAAAAGCAAACAGACAGAAGUGGUAAAGUGAAAAUUGCUUAUAUAAAACAGUGGUUCCUUCACUUGAAUUAUCUGAACAUUAUUUCGAUGCCCAAUCUAUGUCUCAAUCAGAUAAAAAAAAAGGUAAUAGAAAGUAAAUAAGUUUUUUCAAACAUUAAGAAAUUAAUUACCUCCAGAACAGUCUUCAAAAAUCUCCUAUAUUUGUCUGGAGUAACUGAUUGAACAGCAGCAAAACCACACUUCCGUAUCAUAAUCUCCAGAAUGACUGUGACCUAUCGUUGCACAGAAAUGAAUAUGCAUGUGAGAUAUUUAAACAAUUUGAAUAAAGUUUAUAUGCAUAAAAAUUUAAUGCAAAAUUGGGAGUACCUUUGAUCUAAAAUGAUUUCUAGAGACCGUUGACCAUGGGAGAACUUCACUAAUGACAUCAGCAAGAAGAUUCUGCAUGUCUUUUGCUAGCAAGGAAGAGACCAUUACUUUCACAAAACCUAAAACAGCCUGUCAUUAUGUAACAAUCAACUCAAUGCUGCUGAAAGGUACACAGUUUUUAAAGAACUAGGACUAAGGAAAAACUCACUUUUAUAACUUCUGCAGCUUUGCCUUUUAGCAAAGAUAGAAGAGAGUGAACAAGAUCUGGCUUUGAGAUACAAAUGUCAGGAUCCUGAUAAACCAGCAUAGAUAAUGCAGAUACUGCUCCACUCUUUAUGUGAGGAGAUGAGCCAGAUAGAUAACCCAAGAUCUGGCCAUAUGUAAAAAACAUCAUUAGUCCUAAGCUAUAGCAGUAGCAGUUAUGAAAAUCAGUAAUACAAAUAUAAUGGAAUUUUGAAGAAAGGAAGGGAAAAUUUGGAGAAACUCACGACAACUGCAGUCCCACAAAACCAAAUAAAUUAUUUAAGAGGACACUAACCAUAUUAACCAGUUUGUAAAACGGUGCAUCAGGAUUGACACAUGAUGAGUCUCUCAAGCUGGAGCUUAUCAAGAGCAGAACAUCAUAGGCUGCUUUCCUAGGUCCUUCCUUUGCCUACAAAUUGACAAAUAAAUAAAAUGAAAAAGCACAUAAUAUCAGCUCAUCACUCGCUUCUACCAUCUAGAUCAUUAACAAUGUUUUAAUACCAAGCACGAACAGUUAAAAGGUUAAAAAAUGGAUAAAUCAUGCUCCAUAACAAUGAAGCAUAUAAACAAUGUUUUAAUACCAAACACCAACAAUAAAAAUGUUAACAAAUGGAUAAUUCAUAUUCCAUACAAUGAACCAUAGGUAAUGAAAAUUAACAGAAUGUUUAAAAUCUUAAAUGACAGCUUAAUUUCAAACAAUAGAAAUUCAAACAGAGCUGUAACUACUAAAACUUUUUAUAACUAAUAACUUUUUUCAGUAAUCACAAAGACAAAAUUUGAGCAGAAGCUCUUCGAGAAACAUAAAUUAUAGUUUGACUGUUUACAUAAAUUUUGCUUAAACGCACAACAUCAUAAUACUAAAAGCUUUGACAACUCAGAGAUACUACCUUUCCCUGGUACUAACAAGGGACUUGUAGGUUACCCUAUCAGAACAUCCCAGACAGCAUCACAAAAAAACAUGAACAUUAAUACAAAGUUGACAGUUUUCUAAAUGGAAACUAGAGAUACAGCAUUCCAACAUAUCUAACUUCUUAAAGCCAUUCUUACAUCUUUUAAUGUGACUAUGAUCUCAUUGAGGAUAAGAAAAGCCUUUGUAUUCUCUUCCUCCAAGCUCAUCUGCAUAAAGAACUUGAAAGAGUUAAAUAGGCAGUCUCUUGCCCUCUAACCUCGGAAAGAGGGUUGUAAAUUUCACAUCUACAUCAAAAAGUCAAUCAAUAAGAUCUUGUAAAUAUAAGAGCAAUUCAUCUGUAACCAGAGUAAAGUAUUUGCAAAAGCAUUGUAUUUAUAAAAUACAAGUAAUAGAUUCUCAAAACACAAAACAAGAUAAGGUAAAAUAGUUAUCUGACCUUCAAUGUGUGAACCAGAAGAAUGUGGAGACAUGCAAAACGACUUCCAAGGGAAGCAACAUCCACAGGAGAUUUCACACCAAGUAAUAAAUCAAUCAGUUCCUCAUAUCUGGAAGAACAAAACCAAGCAUGUUCCUGUGCCAUUUGAUUACAUCAAAAGAAGGAAUCAAUACCCCUAUAUUAACAAUUUUAUAACAGUUCAAAAGUACAAGAUGUUAAUACAGACCUUUAAGAUUUUGCUCAGUGUGUGGUAUGCUCCAUGAUGGCCAAACUCAUCACUUGCCUAGAUAUCCAUGGGCCAUAGAUAAUUUUAGACUAAAACAUAACUUUUAGCACAAAUACAAAUAUUUCGUGUGCCGAUUAGAUUUUGCUUCAAUAAUAUACCUACCUCCAAAGUGUGCCUAAUGAAGUUAUAGAUUAAAUCCACUAGAUCACCCUUGGCUCCUCCAACAAAAGAAGAUGCUAGCUCCAUUAUCACAGACCUGUUAGAAAAUCAGAAUACGAAUAAAAGAACGUCAUCAAUCUAUACACUACCAGGGGAAGAGAAAAUUAUUAUUAGCAUACUUUGAGAAAGUUUUAUCCAAUCCCGAGUCCCAUAGACCAUAGUCCACAAGCAGCUCCUAAUUCAUACUCAUACUUUGGAAGUUUAUCAAAGUUGUGAAAAAAAAUUUUGGAUCAGAGUCAUGAAAAUUAGUGGUUUCUUUUGGAUCAGAGUCGUGAAAAUUGGUUGUCCUGAUUCAUUAAGAGAAAUGAGAUUUUGAUAAAAAAAAAAAAAAAAAAAGAAAACAAUUAGUCAAUUUAUUUCCCGAAGCAGACACCGUCACCGAUGCAUCCACAGUCCACUUACCGAGAAUUAUAAAGGGAAGACAAGGGACCAGAGAACAGAGCAAGUUCGUUACUUUUCAUCGCAUUUUUUAUGAUUCAAAUAUAAAGCGAAACAUAAUUUUACACUGUACCUCUGUAUACAUAUUUCUGAAGCACUUGGAUUGCCAUGUUCUUCAUCAGUUAGAUUAUCAAUAUGACUUCCCAGCAUCUCAAAUUCACCUUCGCCAUUUACAAUAUGAAACCUCUUUAGCAAUGAAGAAAAAAUAUUUUGGGUUAUGGAAGAAUCAGUUAUAGAAGCCAAGCAACCAAUUGCAUCCUGCAAAAAUGAGAGCAUAAAUAGGUGAAAUUUUGGACCUAGUUCAGACCCUUGAGAUUUGUAUUAAGUAAAAAUGUCAUGUCAGAUAAACUAACCCUGCACCUGAGUAGAACUAAGAAGGGAAAGUAGAAGAAAGUAAAAAUGUCAUGGAAAACCUUUAAAUAUGAGCACUUCUCAUGUUGUGAAUCAAUAAAUAAGUCUGCCAGAGCCUUAAGCAAAUCAUUCGAACAUAGCGCCAGCACCCUAAUGUUUUUAGUCGCUGCUUUUUUCGUAUAUGAAGAUACACUUCUGAUCCCAAGCACAGUAUCCUUAGCUUCAUUAAUAAUUGACUCAUCAAGAUUGUCUCUUGAGGUAAGAGCAUUUCUGUUUUGAUUAACAAGAACCUACAAAGGAAAAAGGAAACGAUGAAAUAUAUGACAGGAGACAUGAAUAAGACCACAAUAAGAAGCUAAAUACAUAAAUAAAUGAUUGUGAAACAAUGAUGGAGAUAAACCAUAAAUGAAAACCAAUGGCACCUCCCAGACCAAAAACAAAUAUUCACAUAUAUGUUGUAAUCAAUAUGAAGACUGAAAAAAAAAAAAAAUUACCUGUAAGGCAACAGCAAUAUUUUCAUGCAUGGAUGGGUCCUUCUUAAUAAGAGUAAUUAAGAGUUUAGCCAAAGGUCUAAAAUUUUGGCGAGUAUCAGUAGGAUAGCCACAAAAGGCAGGUAGUAAACCCCACAGUUCCUGAGCAUGAGCCUGUAGAUCUUGACCAGUUAUCGAUUUCUUAACUGAAAAUUGAAAAUGAAAUCAAAUGAAUUGAAUAGAUUGGUAAAUUAUACAUGCCAAAAUAAAUUUUAUUUAUUUAUUUAAAAAAUAAAUAAAGAGCACAGAAUGAGUGGAAAUUAAACUGCCUCCAAGCCAUGUAAGCGGGGUUCAAAUUUGUACCAUCCCAAGAGAUUUUACUACUUAAACUGAUUGGCACUCACAACAUAAAUUAUAGUUGACAAAAGUAAAAGACAAAUAUGCAAAUUUAAUACAAGAAAUGGUAAUGUAUGUAGAGAGCAGUUCUGCUUCUGAAUCCAACAGGACCAACGUAGACAGACAUGUGCACACAAAGCAAUAAAAUAAAAUAAAACCCAAAAACAAAAACUUCAAAUUUGACCAUUUAAUCCUAUGUCACAUUUCUAAAACUCAGUAUCAAACCCAGACAGUGUGUCAAACCCAGACAGACCAAGAUAUUCAAACAGGACAAAGAUAUUAUCAGUAACUGUUGAAGAAAACUAGAAAAAUAAAUGAAAAACUAUGGACUCCCAUUCAAACUGAAUAGGAAUUGAUUUGUUCUAGAAUCCAAGAACUGAUCCCCACAAUAAAAGGUGAAACUUCAACAUAUAUUAGCACAGUUCUGAAACUCCUAAUCAGCUGAAGAAAGAAGGUCAAAGUUUUCAUCUGAUGGGGCAGUCAUAGGGAUAUGCAUUCCCAUCAAUAUAUUACUAAUUACAUAGUCCUCAUCUGUGAAACUAAAUCAGAAUGAAAAUGGGAGAGAUCCAGCACAAGGAACCCACAUACAACAGAAAAAUCUAGAGUACAAUAAAAAGCAUGAUUAGAUGUUUCAACUUAACUUUUUUUAGAUAUUACAAUAAAAUUGUGUUUCCAAAGUAAUAAAUGUUUGAAAAAAAGAGACAACAAUGCCACAUCAUAUUUAUUCUUGCCAACACAAUAUCCUUGAUAAACAUUAUAGAAAGCAAGCAAUAAAUCCAACCUCCAUCAGCCUUUUUUGGCAACAGCGGGGCAAUGCCUUCGCACAAAAUCAACCAUCUUGAUUGAAAUCAAAUGUGCAUCUUAACAUAAUGAGCUUUUAAAUUUCUGAAUUUAAUAUCUAAAACUCAUAGAAAAGAUUAUUUCAAUGAUUCAGCAGGAAAUACCUAUACGACUUGCCCGCUGAAAAGUUUUUGCAAGAGGUACAAUAUGCUCCAUAUAAUACCCUAGUGAUGCUCCAAUAACAUGAUUUUUUAAUAUAGGAACCAACCAAACAUUUGAACAAGUGAAAUCAUCAGCAUUAAGGGAGAUAGGUAAAAGGGUGAGUAUCCUCUCUGGUCCCAUAGCAAUUACUGCAGAUCCAAUACAAUGCUGAAGCUGCAGUAAUAGAAAGUGAUCAAUCAAUUUCAGUAGACAUGAUUGAAAGAGUAAUUGUAUCUGGCACAAGCUAUAGAAAUAGUAACUGGACCACUUGUCACAUCUGCAGAAAACUCUAAUCCGAUAAAUUGUCUAGAUACAACAUUUUAGCUCCGUUAAUCAUAGAUUAUAAUCGUUUUCUGUCCAACACUGUAAGUAACAUUUUAAAAAGCUACAAGGUUUAAAGAAACUCCGAUUAACACUCACAUGGUUUGCGGUAGCCAUGUCCACACUAGCAAGAGUCAGCAAGUCCGCAAGUUUAAGCACAAUUCUUUUCAUAAAUAUAUAUGAUAUCUCUCCUGUAGCCCAGAAAGCAUAAUGAUGAGAAGUAGUUCUAGAUCUAUUAGUAAAUAAACACUGGUUACAAGUGAAAAAAAAAAUGGUAAGAACAUAAAUAAAUAAUUGAAAGUAAGAUCAACUCUCAAUCACCAAAAUUCCAAAAAACAAAGGGCACUAUCACAAGACAACCCACCUGACUUUAGAUAAGAUAAGCCCCAACAUCAUCAAAAUGGUUAACCCAGAAGAAAAUAAUAUUCUUUGUAAAAUAAAAUACAUAUAAUCAUUUUGAAUUCGUUAAUGAAAUGACACUUGCAGUCAUGACCUGGUAAGAGAAUUAAUUUACUGUAGCAAGGAGGCAUGAACUGUAACAAAAGGAAAAAAAUUCUUUUCACCAGAUUGAAGACAUUAAGACCCCUAAUGCACCAAUAGGAUAAACUAAAAGACCAGAAAUAAGCAUUAAAUCAAAAAAAAAAAAAAUUCAGAUGACCGAUUCUCAACAUCCCAAUUGCCCAGCCAAAAAAUAAAAAAUUUGGUUCAUGGACUCAAUCAAACAAAUAGAAUGUCAGAACUCACAAGAAUAGUAUGGCAGUGUGUUCUGUACUAAAGCAUAUGGUCAUUAGUAAACAGCAUGAAUGAAGUAAACAAAAUAAUCUAGAAAAUCUAUCGAACGAAGUACAUGCAGCAAAUCAACAAAGUCCACUUACCAAGUUUGAGAAACAAAAGUGAUAUGACGGCCAAAAUAUGCUCGUUUGGAAUACUAUCAAAACCAAUGGCAUCCUCAAAGAUAGCACAUAUAGAUUUAAUUGCUCUAGCUUCAUCAUUCUCUUGAUCUCCAUCUUCAAAUGAUAGAAUUUCAUUAGUUUUUACAUCUGCAAGUUGGCUGAUCAACUCCUUCACAAAAGCUGAAGCCUGUAAUGUGAUGCUAGCCUCAGAAGUCAAAAGACCUAGAUCAGAUAAUUUGCUUAGCGUCAUUUAUUUUUAAACAUUCCUAAGGAAAUAACAGCAGCACCAGAGAAGUAUCGUUCAUUUCUCGAAUGAUUAAAUGGUGCCAUGAUAACGUGCAUGUAUAGAUAAUGUCGAACCUCGACUCAAGAGUAUAUGCACGUCAAGUUAGCACUCAGCCCAUUGUUGGAUCAAGUGGUCUCAUUAUUAACAUACUUCUCAGAUGGACCAACCAGUCCAAAACCAAAUAAUAUAUUAACUUCAAAGUAGUAAAUGAUAAUAAAAGAAAUACUACAAAGUAAAGCCAAUAACAAGUUUCAUGCAGACUGAACGACAAAAAACAAUACAUCAACAAAUUAUUUAGUUGAAAUAAAUAAAUAAAAAAAAUUUGAAAGCAUGCAUAAUAGUGCCAAGUACAUAAACUGCAAAAACAAGAUAAAAGCAGGUAAGAAUCACUUACAGCAACCAAAUGCAAGAGAACUACUAUUCCAAGCAUAGCAAAUUUACAAUGCACAAAAAAUUGACAGUGUUUAACAUAGAGCCUUUCUCAUAUCUAAAUCCAGAGAUAAUGAAAAAUACCUGCUAGAGCACCAAAAACUAGAGGAACAUUCUUAGUCCACAAUGAUCUUGUUUCCCCAUUCAGAAGCUUCUCCAUACAGCUUUUUAACAAUAUUGUUGCAGUCAUGACAGUGUCCACAGGGUUCCUCUUUUUUAAAGAUACAUAUGAAGCAAGAGAAACUAUAGUGUUCUCCAUCUCUGGAAUAACAACUUCAACCCUUGAAGUUUCAACAAAAGCUUCAAUGCCUUUAAAAAUGUGCCUUGUAAGUGGUGAGAACUCAGAAGUCAUAAGUUUGCAAAGCUCUGAUAAAAUCUUCAAACGGACUUUGACAGAGAGAUGAGGAACAAUAAGAUUAACUACAUUUAACAUGUAGAGAACCUCCAGAUGAUCAGGCUUCAACAACGUUUCAUCCUUUGAUCCAUCUACAGUUCCUGACGUACGUAAUGUGAUUGCCAGAGGAAUGUACUUUUCAAACAAGGAAUUUAUCAGCUUGCUUGCUGCCUUGAUCACAGUUGAAGACUGAAAAGACUUGAGAACUUUUUCUAAACAAUCUUGAGCACAUCUUCUGACCUACAGCAAGAGAGAAAAAAAAAAUCAUAAAGAACCAUAAUCAUUAACUCAAAUUGAUUUACCAUCAUAUAUGAAAUCGCCAAAUCCCCCUUGAGUAAAUAUUAUGUAAAUAACUCUAAAGUCAAAUUUGAGUCCAGAUUUAACCACUACAAUAUGAUUUGCAAUCAAUUUAAACACGUACUGGUCACAAUAUCAGCAUGCACCAAAGUUUUAUACCUCAAGUCAAUCAAAGCUAAUGGCAGCCAAAGCAUAAGUUUAACAAACCCAAUAGGCCAACAUGUAGCCCCUACCAAAGUAAACAUAAUUAUACAUCUUAGGAUAAAAUAAUCUUGCUUAACCACAUACCACUCCCAAAAUUGAGAACAUUCUGGAUAAGCAUUGGUGACAUUGAAUAGACCAAUGCAGUAACACCACGCUCAGCAUCAUCAAAAUGAUCAUGUUUGGUUUAAUAAUUUGAUACAAAGUAUAUCUUCAAAUCAAGGGUAAUGCUAUCACUCCAGGCCAGAAAUACUAUCCUAACAGUGACUUUUAACCAUGUUAUGAGUUCUGCAUUCCGUGUUAAAAGUUUAAACUAUUACAUUACAACUCACAUAACUAAUCAUUACAAAUUUCACGUCAAGUUCACCACAAUUUGCUGAGUUCCGAAAAAACAAAUUUACCCUGAUAACAUUACCACAGAUUGAAAGUCAUCACAAUUUAUCAAUAGAUUUUUAAAAGAAAUUCUUACCUUGGGACGCUUAUCAAUAGAGAACUUAAGCAAGGUCUCGAACCCCAAUUUAACCGAGCCCCAAUCCUCCAAAUCACAAAAACUAACCAACAAAACUCCCAAACACUUGACCACGCACUUAACGGUCGCCACUCCCAGCGACCCAUCUCUCUCUAAAACCCCCACCAACAAUUCCACCGCCACGCUCGCCUUUGAUUCAGCAAUUCCCUGCUCCGGAACCAGGGCCACCGCGAUCGACAAAAACGUCAAGAGAGCAGAAACCUCAGUAGAGUCGAGGGUUGCAGAUUCCAAGGAGGAAAUCGCAGCGGCGAAAUAGGCGGAGGCAAUCAGAGGCAAGGACUCGGAAGUAAGGAUGGAGCGCAUGGCGGCGGCGGUUGCGACGAGGUGGCGGUGCUGGGGAGCGGCGGAGGUGGCGUAACGGUCCAUGAGUUGUUGGCAGAUGUCUGUGUCGGCUUUGAAUUGGAGUUUUUCAUUUUCGGUUUCUGUUUCCGUGGUGAGCUCAUUGGAUUGGUCCAUUGUGAAUUGGCAAAUCAGGGUUUAGGGUUUGAGGUAUUAAAGAUUAAAGAUGAAGAAAGGGUUUAAUCUUUGAAUGUUGUGAAUGGUGAAGGAGAUGAAUGCAUAAGCGUACUUGGGCUUGGGCCGAUUCUUUGAGAGCUAUGGCCCAACGUAAUGGACUACCCUUGCCUGCUACUGGGCCUUCUUUGCUGAAGGAAUAGAAUUUAUUUAAGCGCGUUUAUUUUUUGGAUUGAAAAAUCAGAUAUUAAAAACAUUUACUUUACAAAAUGAGAAUAUAAAAUGGAAUCGAAAUUAUGGGAACCACUCGAAUUUAGAAUGUGAAAUGAGAGAUUGAUUACCAAAGGAGGGUGGGAAUCAAUCUCUCAGUCUCUAGAUUGACUAUUUUACUCCCAACCAUAUCAAAAAUAUUGAUUUUGUCUUAAGUUGAAAAAAUUAUUAUGAUUAAUUAAUAUAUUAAUUAUUAUUAUUAUUAAUGAUAAAAAAUUUUACAAUUGAUUAAUAUAUUAAUUAUUAUUAACAAUAAUUAUUGAUAAUAAUAAUUUUUUAAUAAAUAAUCACAAUAAUUAAAUUACAAAAUAAUAAUUAUGACAAUAGUUCAUUAAAUACUUUUUAAUAAUUUACUACAAUCUAACUUAUUCUGAUUCUCAUUCUUCAUUCUCAUUCCAGUCUAUUCCGAUUUUAAUUCUAACCUAUUUCGAUUCCCGUCUAUAAACGCAAUAUUAAAUCUAAGAGUUCACAUAACACAUUAUCAUAGAAAACCAUACAACAUCAUAGAAAAACCUCUUCCUGAAUGUUAAGGGAAUAUUUUUGUAUGUGAUAAAUUUAGAAAACUGUCAAAACUGGCAAAAAGGCACGUGUGAUAAAUUCAGAAACAUAGUUGCACAGGGCUUUAAUUAAUAGGUCUUCCUAUCAUGCAUUUGGUGUAUUCAUGAUUAAUUUUGACAUGACAUGUAGCCAAUUAAAUUGUUACAUGUGUGCAAUAAUGAUGUUAAAGUAACAUACUAUUCUGAUUGAAUUCACAACAAUACGUCUUUGUGUGUUAGUGUUCCAAGUUGCUUACAUUUUGUCACAAGUUCUGUAAUUGGUCUCUUAUUAUCACAAUUGUUGCUCAUUAAUAUUCCUAAUAAUAUACCCAUGUCACAAGUACUGUAGUUAGGCUAUUGUUGUAUUGACUACUAAACACUAAAUUUUUAGUUUCAGUGUUUCACCACAUAACACCAAAAAGUUUUCAAAGGUACUCACAUUAUCACCAAUACUGUACGCAUAAUAGUUUCUACCAUGCCACCGAGAAACUACUCUUAACCCAUCCCCAAUCAAUUGAUCCACAUUGUAGAAACUCAUUCACCAUUUAAAAAUUUGUAUUCACUCUACUACUGUUCAAACCCCAUUUAUUGAGCCAUUAUGGUAUUCAUGUCGUGUUGCCAUCUCAUUGUAGCUUCUACCGUUCAAAUCUCAUUGCCAUUUUAUACUACCAAAUCUCUUCGUCAUAUGCCAAGAAAAUUGUGGCAUAUAUUUUUUUGUUGUAUGUUAUGAAAUUAAUUUAAAAAAUAAGAGUGUCUGAGCAUUUUUUAUGGUUGUAGCAAAUAUUUAUUUUGUCUUAAUUUUUUAAUGUUAUUAUAUGUUGGUUUGGCUUAAUUAGUUAUGAAUAACUAUGUUUUGUGUUAUUUUUAAGGUAGCAGCUUUGAAAUUCCCUAAAUUGAACCAUAAAUGAAUCUUAUGCUAUACAAUCCGUUCACGUUGUUGGAUCCAUCUGCAAUAAUCUUUAUCAUCUAGUGCUAAUGGACUCCAUGCUGUCAAUAAUGUCCCUUUUCAUAAUUGAGAUCUAAAUGGUCAUUUUCUUCAGCUGAAAUUAUUUGGCAACAGUUAUUAGUUUGAUGCCUGAAGCUUGACCUGUUUAAUUUUGAGGUUUUCUCGAUUGAUUUCUGAAAGGAUUUUUUCUUUGCAAUGCAUUUGUGUUGUGAUUGAUGCAUGUGAAUUUUAAGGUGUUAUGUUGUUUAGUCUGUUGGGUCCUUCGGAUAAAUAAUAUUGUCCAAUUGCUAUUUGGUUCUAUUUCCUUUUUUCUUCCUCCCCCCAAAAUACGUGCUAAAGUUGUUUCUCAUGCAUCUAUAGAGAUAUUGUUAUUGUAACAGAAAAUGAAAAUAUUGUAUUUGGGCUAAUGGAACUUAAAAUUAUUUUAUCAUGAUUUUAUUUUGGUGUUUUUCCUCCAUUUGGACAUUGUUUUUUGUUGUAUAAAUGCCAAAUGUUUUGCAAUUCAUAUAAAGUUCAUUUUUUGAAAUUGUGUGAUUGUAAUUCCAGGUCAUCUUAAUGGCUCACCAUGAAUAUAUGUCUCUCCAAGAACAACUAAUUUUCAUGGUUCACAAGUUGAUGGUUCAAUUGAGAGACUGAUAUUUGUUGUGAGAACACAACAAUUUCUAGAACUGAGUAACUUCAUGAACAUUAAACAUUGAUUCCACAAUCCAUAGAGAGCACAAAAGACCACACAUAAGAUUUCGGUUAAGUGCAUACAUAAUCCAAUAAACUUGCAAUUGAGAUAUAAGUUAAAAUAUGGAAACAUGAUUUUAAAGCAGAAAAUCUAAAUUAUACUGAAAUCCAACCAUAAAGCCAUUCUUUUUUACAGUUCCAUUAAGCAUAUGCCAUCUACAUAUCUGCCUCAAUCCUCCGCGUAUUACACCUCCAUAUUCACAUAUGAAAUUAAAGGGCAUGUCAAAUAUUAACUAAUCAAUUAUUUUUAGAACAUAGGGUCUGUAAUCUCCUUACUCAUAACGUUGUUGUAGGACAUUAAAUUCGAUCUGCAUAAAUCUAUAAUGAUUAAGGCUUAUGUUCACAUUUCUCCUAUUAACAUAGAAGCCAUGGUAGUGCAUUAAGAAUCAAGACAUUAGCACAUACAGUGGGUGUACGAAAGCCAAAAUGUCAUCAUCAAUAAAUGACAUUAAAGCUAUAUCAUAAAUGGUGAUAAUUUUGUUGACAAUAUUUAUCCUCCCAGCGACGCAAUGUACCCCAUGUAUGUUUACUAGCAUAUAUAUCUGCAUAGAGGAAAUUUGAGUUGAUUACCCAAGACAAAUUGAUUAUAAUGUUCCUAAAAUAAUUGAAAUAUAAUACUCAUGCCUCAUCGAUGUUUGCCUAUACUAUUUUGCCUUCUACAAAUCCUUUUAUGAUGCCUUCAUCAAAGCAACCUUCAUAUGACAUCAGUGACAGUCUACGAUGAUAAACCCAAAUUUCUUCCGUAAGAGCUUGAAGAAACAUGAAUAUUAUAAUGUAAAUUACUAUACUAGUUUAUGCAAAUCUGUAUAACAUUUAACAACACUUUGCUACAUUGUUAUUAACCAUACUCAAAUUUCUAGGUCAAUACACCGCAUUUAUUUCCCACAUUUUCAGGAUACAUCAUUAUAUGGUAGUGAAUGCUAUUGAUGUAGAUGGACAUAUACUACAUAUGAUAACAAUCCAAUUACAUAGUUAGUUUACUAAUAGAAGAUAAUACUAUAAAUCAAAUUGUGUGCCCUAUUUACAAGAUUUUUUUUUUUUAAAAAUAAUUACCUCCCCUUUAAUCUAUUUAUUGCCUACUACCAUCUGUAACCAGUCAGGAAACAUCCUAAUUUUGAUAUUCCAAAAUUUUUUAACUUUUAUGAUGUUGGCAGGGGUACUUUUAAUCCACCCAUACAUUCCUUCUCUAAUCUUUGUAUUAAGUGGAUUAUUGAUAUUAACUUCAUCAUCCAAGUCUGCAUGGUUCAAUAAUGACUCAAUUGAGUCAACUUCAUUCGUCUUUAUGGUUUUCUCUCCUAUAGUUUUCUCUCUUACUGAUUCAACAUAUGUAUUUGCAAAAGCAUCCAAACUCCCUUUAAUAUAACACUUUUGAACCUUGCGAAAGUAUGAUAUUCCCACCAUAGGCAAAUUGCGUGGAGGCGUUUGGAAAACUUCUUUAUUAAUGUCAACUGGGCAAAAAUCAAUCUUGAAGUGCCCAACAAUCCACACACAUGUAUUUUAUUACUGAGUCAAAAUAUUUAUGAAGUUAUAGCACAAAAUUAAAUUGAAAACAUUGUAUAAAAAAUUAUAAAGGUUUAUAAAUUAUAAAAAAUAAUAAAUAUCAAAUUGUUUGGGAUAUAGCAUAAAAUUUCUCACUGGCCUCCAAUUAAUUUGUCCCAUCAUCAUCUCUCUUAAUAGGUUCUAGCUUCACUUUCUUUGGCUUGCUUAUCUCCUCUAUAGUAAUCGUAUGCCGCAACUUCAUUUCCCUCCUCAUCUCAACCUUGAUUUAAUUCUUCAAAUCUUCCAACUCACUUUUUAUACUUCUAACAACUGCUUCAAAAAUAUUUUCGUUGUUCUUAUCAAUGCUAAUAGUGGGCAUGAGGACAUCAUUGUUUUCCUCUUAUAAAAAAGAUGUAUACAUAAUCAACUUCUUUACAAACAAAUUUACUUUAGUAACAUAAUUUUUUCCCACCGAGUACAAAGAUUUAAACUUAUGUUGCAUAAUCAUAAUCAUUACAACUUAUAUAAACUUAGCAGGUAAAUUGUUGUAAAAAAGAUACCAUAAAUAUUCUUACUUUUUAGGUUGCGGUUGUUUCAUGAUUGAAGUUUAUGUUUGAUACUUUUCUGUUAGACUUUAUGAAUAUCAAUGAACUGAUAGAAUAUUUUGUCGAACUGAUACACCAACAAGUUUUACCAAUGUUCAAUUUCGACCUCUCUGUUUUCAAGCAUUAAUAGCAUCAAAGAUUUGUCAUUGAACAACAAGAAUUUAAUAAGUUGUUGUUCACUUGUCUAUGCGAAAGAAGACCACGUGUUCUCCAUCUCAGUAUACAUGAAAUGUCUUGAUCAUUCUGGGGAACUGCAUAGAGGUUGCCAACCAUUGGGAUGCUCUCAAACAUACACACCUACAACUUAACAUUUACUAUAAGCAACAAGAUGCAAUGGUGUAUUGUACAUUUCACAAAGUAUGGUCAUUUUAAAAUAAUAUCAUCACUUGAUCUUACCAUAAGAGCAAAUGCAAAUCCACCAUGCUGUAAUUGUCUUCUGUAUACACUUUAUUUGAGAUCUUUCCGUAGAUUAAAUUUUGCACCUUCUUAGACAUUACCUUGAUAAUAGAGUUGUAAGUUUCAAUACAUAACACAGUCCCUAAAGGGUACGCAUUGAACUCAUCAAGGUUGUCUACAAGCAAACCCCUGGUGUAAAAAUCUAACAAACCGACCUCUAAUGUAAUACCAAAGCUCCUAUACGUAACCAUGAACCUCCAUCUCAUACAUUAAUACAUUAUUAACCAAGUGCAACUAAAAAAUCAAUUUAUGCAUGUCUAAAAAAUAACCCAAAGUUGUUUUACGAAACCUUUUUUUUGCUUCAGCAUCAGCAGCUGGUUAAUUAGCUCAAUAGCCCUCAUUUUAAGGUAUGCUGACACAUAGGCAUGUUGAAUCUCCUCCACCCUAGUUCUUGAACUAGGUAAUCACUUUUAUAUUCUCCAGGGCACUGCAUGGAUAUAUACAAGUAUAUUAAAAUGAUUGUUAUUGGUUAAUGAUUGUUAUAAUAUGAUUUUUUUAUGUAACUUAUAAAAAAAGCAAUUUUUUUAUGCACUUAGUUCUUCAAGUAAACCGGUCGUAAAAAAUCCAUGUUAAACACUAGGGUUUACUACCAAAUGCAGUCAAACAAGUGCUAAUUGGUAAGCAUACCACUCUUCACCACUAGGCAAUAACGUCUUAAACUACUUCGUUGAAGAUAUGGAGAAAGAAAAAUAUUAAAUUUCUAGAUUAUCAUACCUUUCUAUAGUGACCAAAUGCUCCAAGUACUGGGAAAGCCAUAAAUAUUUGUUACAUGCAAAGGUGAGGUAACAAUAUUAAAAAAGCAACAGACCUCAUAUAGAUGAACGACAUACUUUUAGGAUGCAAGGACGAAGUAUCUAUAGAAUAUAUAUUGAAUGUGCAGGAAUGUUCAGAGAGUAGAGUUCACUUAUUGAUCGAGUCUCAGCAAGUUAGUUACCUGGUUUGGUAUAUUUUUCCAGUUAAGUUAAAUUUCAUUAGGUACCUCUCUUUAUUCAUUACACACUUUAUAAUUUGAUAUGAUCAGGUUGGUUUGAUACAGCCAGUUGUUUACUUUGAUUUUUGAUUUUUUGCUUUUUCUAAAAUCUAUUUCGGCAAUAGAGUUGCAGUACUGAUUCUGAAGGGAAAAAAUAUUUUCUUGGUUAUGAUUAUGGACAAAAGAUAUUAUGUAUUUGGUUCAUUAACAAAUGCAUGAUAAGUCCAACUCUUAAUUAGAGCAAGAGAUAUUUAUAAUACAUUCUUCAUUUGUUGGCGUAUAAAUGACUAAAUAAUGGGUAUCAUUUGGUAUAUAUCAUAUAUACCUGGUUUAAUGGCACAGAUUCAGCAAAUAGAAGGAAAAGAAUAGGUUAAAAUAAAUUAAGGAUGAAUAAUGUGUUUAGUGAUAACAAUUCUUAUACAUGUCAAUAUCAAGGGUUAAGUGAAGGCUGUUAUUCUCUAUUUUGUACAUAAAUUAAAAGACAAUUACCACAUCAAAAUUUAAUGAAACCAUAGAUAGUUUCAAAUUACAUGAGUUGAUAAUUAAUAUUUCUAUAAACCUACAUGUCAUUGAGGAGAGAACUGAAAUAUUAACAACAACCAAUACUAGUGACAAUUCCCAUAUGUAUCAAAACGUAAAUCUACAACAAUCUCAAUCAAAUAACCAUUAAAAUUUAUAAUUUGCUCAAAUUAUACCACACCUUUUCUAUUGUAUAAGUUUCUUAUUCAUACAAUAUACAGACCUUAGAACAACGAGAAAUCUUCAAUAUAAACUUUUUCUAAAAAUUAGUGCCUUGCAUGAAAUGACUCAAGUUACUACCUUUGAUCUUGCAUAUUGUCUAGGUCAUAUAUGAACAUAGUAUUAUUGACAAAUAGUUCAAAAUUGUCACAUUAAAAUUACUAUGUAAAAUACUCACCAAAAAUUGCGAAGGCAAGUAUUAGUUCACUUUUGAAUUUGGCAAAUUGCAUUUCUCUUAGUAUGUUUUAGUCAUGGUUGCAAUAAUCUACAACAUAAAUUUUAUAAAAGAUACUUGAGAUGUCAUAUGUAUAAUAGAAGGAUAACAGAUAGAAUACACCUCGUUGUGAAUCCACCUCAUCGGGUUUAAAAAUAACAUUACAACUUGACACACAAAAUUCAUCUCUAAUUCAACAAGCCUCUCCCUAAAUAUACUAAAUGGACCACUUUUUUAACUCAUUUUCUGAAUAAUAUUAUUGAUCUUGCACAUUACUAAAAAACAAAGUUAUUAAUAAAAGAUACAAGACAAAAUGUUGAAAAUUUUCACUCUUUGUCCAGAUUAUUGUCCAAUGCAUAUGUAAAAUAUGCAAUUCGUUGUCUGAUAAUAGUGUUGUCACCACAAAUGGUCUGGUUCUAUAAAGUCCAGACGAUGCAAUAAAGUGCACUUCCUCUAAACGUGACAUUGCUAAGACUUUAGGAAAAUUUACUUCAAAACUCCUAUCAAUACUAUUUACAGGCGAGUCCAGCAGAGUAUUGAUUUGUGAAAUAUUAUCUUUAACCCAAUGGUAAAUUAUAAAACAAACACUGACUUACUAUAGGGUCCAUCUCAUUUUAGUGGACCAAAAUGCCCAAAGUCCAAAUAGGUUUACUUGAUGUUAAUUAUUAUAAAGUUUUGAACUUAGGAGAAAUUAACCAAAAGAAAAUAUAUAAAAACAAGUGAAAGCCACUACCCUAGAUAAUGUGUUCGUGUAGAAGAAGCGGCAAGAGAGAGAAAGGACAAUGGAGGUUUUUAAUUUAGAAAUAGUGAUUUCAAUCUUUGAUUGGACGAUUGGAAAAUAAUUUUAACUCUGUUUUCUCCUAAAUUUUAAGGGUAAGUUUCUGGCAUUGCCUCUACAAUCUACUGAUCUUGAUUUUUAUUUUAUCCUCUUGUUUGCUAUUAUUUGAGAUACCCAUUUGUUAGAAAGAUAUGUAUUAUACUGUUACAUUAAGUUAAGAAUAUUGAGAUUCCUGAUUUUAUUAGCCUAUAGUAUUAUCUACAUAAAUAUUUGUUCUAUAACCCCAUUAAUAUAGUGAAAGAUUUUAUCGGAAUACGGUCAUGUGGUUUUUCAUACUUUGAGUUUUUCACAUAAAAAUAUGUAUCUUUUAUGAUUUUUUUUUGUUUUGGAUUGUGUUGAUUUAUUUUCUACCUAUUUAUUUGUGGUACACAUCCUAUUUUAAUAACAGAAAGAAGGAAAGAGUUUUGUUUCCGCUUAAUUUGCAGCUGCUUGUGAGAGUCCCUUAUAAACACUUGAGAGUGUUUGGUUGUAGAGUAUAUGUUCACAUCCCUAAAGAUGAGAGAUCGAAGCUUGAUGAUAAAGCUAAAUAAUGCAUUUUCUUAGGUUAUGGGCAUGAAGAAUUUGGGUACAAAUUAUAGGAUUCAGUGGCAAGAAAAUUGAUUAGAAUUAGAGAUGUUGUGUUUCAUGAAGAUUAAAUAGUUGGUGAUACAUAAAAGAGUGAUGAAUCUCAAUCAUCUCUAGAGAUUUCUAUUAUUCUAACUCUAGUUUCUCCACCUGUAGUUUAUUAUAAUCAUGAGGGGGCUAGAGAUGAUAAUAAUGAUGGUCCAGCAAAACUAGUUGAGCAAGUACCUCCAGAACCACAUGUACUACCAGUUGAGCCAGAAUUAAGAAGAUCCACUAAAGAACGGUGAUCUUCACUAGAUAUCCUCCACAAGAGUAUGUAAUGUUUACAGAUGGAGGGGACUGAGAAUGUUUUGAAGAAGUUAUGUCUCAUUAGCAUAAAAAUGAGUGGUUUAAAGCUAUGCAAAAGAAGAUGAAAUUGUUGAAUGAAUGUUGUGCAAAUUUUAUUGAACUCGCAAGUGCACGAAUCUAUUGUAAAAUAGAUUAAUGGUGACGAGUGUCGAUCCCACGAGGAGGUGGAUUUUAAUUAUAUGUAGAAUUAAUUUUGUAUGAGGGUAAUUGGAUUUGUGGUGGAAAUGAUUUGGAAUAUUCUAAAACUUAAAUUAAAAUGGCGAGAAUAAAUUGAAGAGAAAUCUAUUGAAAUGAAGCACUUGGGUAUCUGGAUCCGUAUCAACAUGCACCAUGGGAUAAAUAUUCCUUAUUAGUGCCAAUUAAAUCAUGAGGGGGGUAUCCACGCCUCAUGACCCACACUCUAAUCAAUAUGGUAUUAAGGUCUUAUCGUGUCAAUUAAUAAUAACCUUGUACUAGAGAGUCGGUGAAACUAAUGCGGUAUCUAGACAAGAUUAUUAUUAUUUGUCGACGAAAAGUCAAAUCAUCCACAAAAAUUAGAGGGGAAGAGAAAGUAAAUUUACCAAAUAAAGCCCAUGACACAUGUUGAGACUUCACCUUCAACCCAAGCUUGAAAGAAAAUUAGCUACUCAUAAUUGAACUAGGGGUAAAAUAGAAAUUUAUUAAAAUACAUAGAAAAUACAAGAUGGAGAAGCAAUUACAGAAACUGGAGUCCAAAAAUGGAUUCAGAGAUAUCAAAUUAGGGGGGGAGAGCCCCCAUUUUAUAGAUACAUUGAGUAAAUCAUGGCCAUCGGAUCAAAAACAUUUCGGACGCUCAGGAUUGCACCACGUCAUCAGUCAACAGUACGCGGUUUGAACAGUAACACAGUUUGACCACGCGGUUUGAACAGUAACACGAUUUGAUUGAAAAUAAUCAUGUGUAAUGCAUGUACCGUACGCGAGAUUUUUGGUCUACUGAUAUGCUGCCACGUCAUCGAUCAACAGUGCAUAAAAAUUUUAGUCCAACAGGAUCGUGACACCUCAUCAGUCAAUGCCACAUCAUCGGUCAAUGUCACGUCAUCGAUCCGUCUAUGUGAACAGUGUCGUGAANNNNNNNNNNNNNNNNNNNNNNNNNNNNNNNNNNNNNNNNNNNNNNNNNNNNNNNNNNNNNNNNNNNNNNNNNNNNNNNNNNNNNNNNNNNNNNNAUCGGUCAAUGUCACGUCAUCGAUCCGUCUAUGUGAACAGUGUCGUGAACAGUAACGUAGACAGUACCGUACAUGUGAAUAGUGCUAUUUUUCCUUUUAGGCUCCUCUUAAGGUUUUCGACCGUCCUGAGUUCAAAAGUGAACUACCUAAUUAAUGAAACCCCUCUAUGUGGUUUAUGAUUUUGCCCUUCAAUAAAAUUGCAUCAAAUGACAAAAAUAUAACUAAUUCCACACAUUAAACAAAAAUAAUUUUCUUUUGCCAAAAACUCGAUACACUCAUACAUGUAAGAUUUUCACCAAACCUUAAAUCGCUUGAACCCUUAAUUAGGCCCUAGCAAAUAAAACGAAAACAAAAUUCAAAUCCAAAAUGAUUUUUUUUUUUAAACACUCGUGUUUAUUCAAUCAGACUAAUGAUAACAAUCAAAUAAAAAUAUAAACAUUAUCUCUAGUCUAAAGAAACAUCACACCCACAUCAACCAUCUACAUGAAUCAGCCUAGUAGACUUUGUCAUACCUACUUUCAAGAAUGACAUGUCAAACCCCAAAAUCUCACUGAAGGUAGUGACACUCUCACAAAGAAAAUUGAACCUAAUAAAAAUAGUCACUCCAAUGAAUGGUAAUUGAGAGAAAAUAAUAAAGAAGUGAUAUCACAUGCUCUCACCAAGAUGAAAGAAAUAUGCCCUCAGUUUAGAAAUAAUACGAUUUCAAGUCAAAUAAAAAUGCUAGUCAACCCAAUUUUGUUUUUUUUUAUGCAUCACUACAUCUUUUUAGCCCAUAUAACUAGCUUCUACUUCAGACUAUAGUUCCCUAAAAUNNNNNNNNNNNNNNNNNNNNNNNNNNNNNNNNNNNNNNNNNNNNNNNNNNNNNNNNNNNNNNNNNNNNNNNNNNNNNNNNNNNNNNNNNNNNNNNNNNNNNNNNNNNNNNNNNNNNNNNNNNNNNNNNNNNNNNNNNNNNNNNNNNNNNNNNNNNNNNNNNNNNNNNNNNNNNNNNNNNNNNNNNNNNNNNNNNNNNNNNNNNNNNNNNNNNNNNNNNNNNNNNNNNNNNNNNNNNNNNNNNNNNNNNNNNNNNNNNNNNNNNNNNNNNNNNNNNNNNNNNNNNNNNNNNNNNNNNNNNNNNNNNNNNNNNNNNNNNNNNNNNNNNNNNNNNNNNNNNNNNNNNNNNNNNNNNNNNNNNNNNNNNNNNNNNNNNNNNNNNNNNNNNNNNNNNNNNNNNNNNNNNNNNNNNNNNNNNNNNNNNNNNNNNNNNNNNNNNNNNNNNNNNNNNNNNNNNNNNNNNNNNNNNNNNNNNNNNNNNNNNNNNNNNNNNNNNNNNNNNNNNNNNNNNNNNNNNNNNNNNNNNNNNNNNNNNNNNNNNNNNNNNNNNNNNNNNNNNNNNNNNNNNNNNNNNNNNNNNNNNNNNNNNNNNNNNNNNNNNNNNNNNNNNNNNNNNNNNNNNNNNNNNNNNNNNNNNNNNNNNNNNNNNNNNNNNNNNNNNNNNNNNNNNNNNNNNNNNNNNNNNNNNNNNNNNNNNNNNNNNNNNNNNNNNNNNNNNNNNNNNNNNNNNNNNNNNNNNNNNNNNNNNNNNNNNNNNNNNNNNNNNNNNNNNNNNNNNNNNNNNNNNNNNNNNNNNNNNNNNNNNNNNNNNNNNNNNNNNNNNNNNNNNNNNNNNNNNNNNNNNUUUUUUUAAACACUCGUGUUUAUUCAAUCAGACUAAUGAUAACAAUCAAAUAAAAAUAUAAACAUUAUCUCUAGUCUAAAGAAACAUCACACCCACAUCAACCAUCUACAUGAAUCAGCCUAGUAGACUUUGUCAUACCUACUUUCAAGAAUGACAUGUCAAACCCCAAAAUCUCACUGAAGGUAGUGACACUCUCACAAAGAAAAUUGAACCUAAUAAAAAUAGUCACUCCAAUGAAUGGUAAUUGAGAGAAAAUAAUAAAGAAGUGAUAUCACAUGCUCUCACCAAGAUGAAAGAAAUAUGCCCUCAGUUUAGAAAUAAUACGAUUUCAAGUCAAAUAAAAAUGCUAGUCAACCCAAUUUUGUUUUUUUUUAUGCAUCACUACAUCUUUUUAGCCCAUAUAACUAGCUUCUACUUCAGACUAUAGUUCCUUAAAAUCAAGAAGGACUUUUAUUAGGACGUAACGUAGGCUAGGGACAUGGCUAACAAAAGAGGGGAAAUAAGGAAAACAAAGUGUAUGUUUGAGAAAAAUGUAGAUUUUUUUUUUUUGGAAGUUGCAAGGUGGAUUUCACCUAUUAUUGUUAUUUUUAUUUUUGAAACAACAAUUUUUUUUUUUUUUGGCAUAACUUCACUUAACAGAAUAAUUAUUUACAUUUUUCUCAAACAUAAAUAGGUGAUGGAACUUGUAAGAUAUCGGGUAAUACUCCAAAUCGGACUGGGUCAAGAUGAUAAGUUUGACAAAGAAAAUGUUUUUUUUUAAAGGCUCAAAAGGGUUAACUAUGGAUAUUUCAUAAAAUGGAUGGCUAGAAAGGCUCAAACGGAUCAAAGAUGGUCUUUCCAUCGUCUUUUAGGGCUCUAAAUAAUCUUCCAUAUCUACUAGUUAGAUGGGCCUCCAAAUGUAGCAACACAUAUUUUUUCUUAUUAUUUUUUUUAAUUUUACAAUUUUUUUUUAAGGGUUAACUCAAAAGAAAUCUAGAAAUCGUGAAUAAAAUAAUAAACUGCUAAGCUGUAUAAAGAAUGGGCAAAAGGGUUACUCUCCAAGAAAAAUGAUAGGCUCAAGAACUCAAUUGGUACUUAUUAUGACAUGUUCAUUCCUUCAAGCAACUCAUUUUUGUCUCCGACAUCAACAUGCAGAGUAGCAAACAUAGCGUAACAUCAAUUAAGACCAAAGAUAAUACAAAUACUAAAAUUUGAAAUUAAUCAUGUCAUCCAAUGUUAAAACAAAUCACACAAUUUUUUUUUUCCAAGGCGGAUGUACGGUACAGCAGAAAAUGAAUAUCAAAGCUUAAUAAAGAAAAAGAAAAUAUCUGAAUUUUUUUUUUGUUUUUUGUUUUCAAACGAUGAAGAUGCAUUUCUAGAGUCACUACACUCCAUAUUCAGCCAUCUUCAACACAAAAAGUUAGCAAUAGUUAGUUUCUACAACAAAAAAAUCAGUAAAAACUUAACCAAGAUUCCACAAUUGUCGAUUAUUCCCUCCCCCCAACCGGAACGAAACAUUGUCCUCAAUGUUUUAAAGGAAAGAAGUAGAGUUUAGAAGACAUCACCUGGGUGGUGCAACACAGAAGGAAAUAUUUACAGGCAGAGAGUUAAAUCUAAUUUGUACUUCUUACUGCUGCUACUGUUACCAUCAUUAUUUGGAUGCUCCAACACAAAGGUCCAGGGGUCUGGCUCCGGUCUAUAAGCUUGUAACAGAUCAAGUAGCUCAUUAGCAGUGUGAGCACAAAUAAAAAGAUUUUUCGCUGUGGAAGAAAUGAAAUAGUUUUUUAUUGCAUGGUUAAGAAAUGCGAUAAAGCCAUCAUAAAAAUUAUUGACAUUUAACAAACCGAUGAGUUUUUAGUGAAUGUGCAGAUGGGCCCAAGAUGUUAGUGUGAUAAGUGUCUCUAGUGUUGCAAGAUCUCCUGGAAGGAAAAUAAAAGCAUCAGCAUGAUUAAGCAUUUCAAGAUGCUAGUGUGAUAAGCAGAUGGGCCCAAGAUGCUAGUGUGAUAAGUGCCUCUAGUGUUGUAAGAUAUCCUGGAAGGAAAAUAAAAACAUCAGCAUGAUUAAGCAUUUAAGUUAUUCUUGCUUGCAUACCUGAGUCGACUAACUCUUCUCCAGUCGAUGAGUCAGACAAACUGCCUGAAGGUUUUAGGACACUUGGGAUGAUGCCUAGCACUUGGCUUCCUCUGACAAAAGCAGCUUCUGAGACCAACUUUGAUAACACUCGGUUACCUCCUCCAUACACCAAGUGUAAUUUUCUCUCUACUAUAUUUCUACCAAGAUCUAUGGCUGCCUCAACGAACUCUUUAUGUUUGCCAUAGUUAAAUCCAGAAAGCACACAAAUGUUCUUGAAUUGUCUAUUGGGAGUAGUUGCCAUUGAGAUACUUCUCAAAAACAAUUUGUGAGUGCUUGAAAAAAAAAUCAUAUUUAAGAAUCUUGGUGAUAGUGGGUCACAACUGUGUAUGAGGUAGCAUGUCAGUGUUAAAUAACGCGAAAAGCACAUGGCUCGAUGGUAAAAAAGCAAACAGUAAAAAGAAAAAAUGAUAAAAUAAAAUUAUUCAAGACAAUAAUGCAAAUGAUAAAACAACAGUGAAAUAAAAUAACAAUGAAGUAAAAAGAUAUUUACCGAUAGUUGCGACUGUGGCUCACAUCUUCCUCUGGUUUUACGUCCAGAAACGGCUUGAACGCCCUCUAUGGGUCGAGGAUGGGCUUCCUAUCCAGUUUUCUUAUAAAUUGGCAAACAGGGUCGUUUAUAGUCAGAUUCUCGAGACUAUAUCGUGCAUGCUCUUUCUGGAAUAAUGGCGAUGUGUUUAAAGAGACAAAAGGAUAUCAUUCAAUGACUCCUUAUUCAAGCCAUCCCUAAUGAAUUGAAUCUUAUCUUCCCUGUUAUCAUACACCAUUCCUAAAUAACAUGGUUUUUUAUCGCAACUCAUUCUGGCACAUUUAUGACAAGCAACAAAAUUUUUUCGAGCUCUUCGUUUUCUUGCAUAAUUUCCUUUACCAAGACCAAGCUUUAUAGAUUGUAAGGAGGGCAUUUUGAGGAAGUGAAGGGAAUCGAUUGUGAAGCUUUGCUAGAAUCUCGUUUCUGUCCAUACCUUCGCCUCAGAAUAUCAGUUAUUAUGGGAAACUGAAGUAACUGACUUGAUUGUCACGGAGUACCGUUAUCCGCCACUUCACCGGGGUAACAAACUAAAGCACACAAACAAAGAAAAAAAAACUAAAACACAUAAAGAAAAUUACAAUCGUCCUCUGAUUGAAUUUACCUCAAGCUCCAACUGGAUGUUGUAGACACUUCUCUCAAUGUCUCUGAGUUGGCUUUCUAAAUCCUCAACAUAGGAUACUAACUCUGGCGGUUGUAGAGCCCAAUACGAUGUGUUUUAUAAAAUCGAAUCUGCCUUUUAAGAUGAGAUUUUACACGUUGAAGUGGUUUAAGAAUGUCCAGGAGGAACUGCUUAGUUAUGGCACUCAUGAUUAACAAUGAUAAGAGAAAACUUAAUGGUUAAACAAACACACUUAUGCAAAAAUAAUUUCAAUUAGCAAAAGAAUAAUAAAAAGAAAGAAAAAAAAUCAAAUCACCGAAAAAAAAGAAGAAAAAAAAACUCAAUUCAAAUCUGGUGGGUCACUCAAAUUUAUUUCGGUGUCCUCUCCAUGUGGUUGGUACUCUAGAUAUGGCUUUAGUCUUUGACCAUUAACUUUAAACGUGACACCGUUCUUAGGGUCCUUAAUUUCAAUUACCCCAUAUGGAAAAACAAUAUGAACAAUAAAGGGGCCAGACCAUCCUGCUGUACGGCCAAGGCGGAUGUACGGUACAGCAGAGUNNNNNNNNNNNNNNNNNNNNNNNNNNNNNNNNNNNNNNNNNNNNNNNNNNNNNNNNGAGUGAAAGAUUUUCUCAUAAUUUGCUUGUCAUGAAAGACUUUCAUUCACUGCUUGUAAAUUCUGGCAUUUUCGUAUGUAUCAUUGUGAAUUUCUUCAAGUUCUACCAGUUGUAAUCUUCUUUCUGAGCUAGCUUGCUGCAUGUCAAAGUCGAAUUUCUUGAUGGCCCAAUAUGCACGAUGCUCGAGUUCCACAAGUAGGUGGCAAGCUUUUCCAUACACUAGCCUGUAGGGUGACAUCCCAAUCGGGGUCUUGAAAGCUGUUCUAUAUGCCCAUAAUGCAUCAUCAAGUCUUAAUGACCAAUCUUUUCUGUCUGGCCUCACCGUUUUUUCUAAUAUGUGCUUUAUUUCUCGAUUGGAGAUCUCAACUUAGCCACUGGUUUGCGGAUGAUAUAGGGUCGCCACUUUAUGAGUGAUUGAAUACUUUGUCAAAAGAGCUUUGAAUGCUUUGUUACAAAAGUGGGCACCACCAUCACUGAUUAUCGCUCGAGGGAAUCCAAAGCGUGAAAAAAUAUUGCUUUUCAAAAAUCAUAUCACCACCUUGUGAUCAUUAGUUCUACAUGGAAUUGCUUAUACCCAUUUCGAUACGUAGUCAACAACAACCAAUAUGUAUUGAUGGCCAAAAGAAGGGGGAAAGGGUCCCAUGAAGUCGAUACCCCAUACAUCAAAAAUCUCAACCACUAAAAUUGGAUUUAAUGGCAUCAUGUUCCUUCGUGUAAUGCUCCCCAUUCGUUGACACCUAUCACAUGAAGAACAGAAAGUGUAAAUGUCUCGAAAUAUAAUUGGCCAAUAAAAACCACAUUGUAAAACUUUAGUCGCUGUUUUCUUAGCGUUGAAAUGGCCUCCAUAAGCUUGUUCAUGGCAGAAUGAAAGGAUAUUUUGAAUUUCACUUUCUGGGACACAUCGUCUAACAAUUUGAUCUGCACAAUACUUGAACAAAUAAGGGUCAUCCCAAAAGAAAUUCUUUAUUUCCGCAAAAAAUUUGGCUUUGUCUUGCUUGGUUUAAUGCUCUGGAAGUUGACCUGUAACAAGAUAAUUAACGAUAUUAGCAUACCACGGUAAUACUUUCACACUCAUCAAUUGUUCAUCUGGAAAUGACUCAUUCAAUGGUAAUGAUUCCAUAAUUGUGUCAGAAUGGAGGCGAGAGAGAUGGUCAGUCACAACAUUCUUUGUGCCUUUUUUAUCUUUAAAUUUCAAGUCGAACUCCUGCAAAAAUAACACCCAACGAAUUAGUCUAGCUUUUGCAUCCUUCUUUGUGAGAAGAUAUUUAAGAGCAGCAUGAUCUGUGAACACAAUUAUUUUACAACCAAUGAGAUAAGAUCGAAAUUUCUCUAAUGCAAAUACUACAGCUAACAUUUCUUUUUCAAUAGUUGAAUAGUUCAACUGUGCAUCAUUCAAUGUCAUACUAGCAUAAUAAAUAACAUGGAGAAUUCGAUAAACUCUUUGUCCUAAUACUGCUCCUACUGCAUAAUCAGAUGCAUCACACAUGAGCUCAAAUGGUAAGCUCUAGUUUGGGGGCUGAAUGAUGGGUGAUGAUGUCAACAACUUCUUUCGUUUUUCAAAUGCCACAAGACAUAAAUCAUCAAAGAUAAAAGAUACAUCCUUAGCAAGUAGAUUUCAUAAGGGUCUGGAAACUUUGCUAAAAUCUUUAAUGAAACGUCUAUAAAAACCAGCAUGCCCAAGGAAAUAUCUUAUUUCUCUGACUGUUUUGGGUAGAGAAAGAUUAGAAAUGAGAUCCACCUUGGCUUUGUCAACCUCAAUACCUUUACUCGAAAUGAUGUGACCAAGAACAAUACCUUGUUUUACCAUAAAAUGACAUUUUUCCCAAUUUAAGACCAAGUUCUUCUUGACACAUCUCUGCAGAACUAGUGUUAGAUGAUGUAAAUAUUGAUCAAACGAGUCACCAAAGAAAAAUGGUCUUGACAUGUGACAGAAUUCAACUUUCUAUAAUUAAUGCAUACACGCCAUCUUGUAGUCACUCUAGUGGGUAUCAAUUCAUUAUCGGCAUUCGUAACUACUGUGACUCCUGAUUUUUUAGGGACAACUUGUCCAGCACUGACCCAUGAACUAUCAGAAAUGAGAUAAAUGAUACCUGCAUCUAAUAGCUUAAGGACUUCAGUUCUAACAACUUCUUUCAUGUUAGGAUUUAACCGACGUUGCAUUUUCCUAGUAGGUUUAGCAUUUUCAUUAAGGUGAAUGUAAUGCAUGCAGUCUACUGGGUUUAUACCUUUUAUGUCUGCUAUGGUCCAUCCUAAUGCUCCUUUGUGCUCUUUUAAAACAUCCAACAACUUACUUUUUUGUUCGUUAUUGAGGGAUGAUGAGAUGAUUACCGCGGAGUGCUUUCUUAUCCCAAAAACGCAUAUUCCAGUGUGUUGGGUAAUGGUUUGAGCUCGAGUUUCGGUGGUGAUUAUGAUGAUGGGAUGAGUUUCUUCUCUGAUGGUGCUAGUUGUUCAACUCUUGACUUCCAUUUAUUAGUGUCCAUGGAUGGUGCUGAGUCAAGCAAGGCGUUAACCUCAUCAACUGAUAUGUCAAUAUCAAAAUCCAAACCAAAGUGAGUUAAGCAUGUUUGUAAAGGGUCAUCACUAAAGUUUGGAAGAAAAGUAUUAUCAACUAAUGUGUCUAUUAAAUCCACAUCAACAAUUCCAUCAUCUGUAUUGUGAGGUUGUUUGGCAAUGUUGAAGAUGUUUAGCUCCAUAGUCAUGUUGCCAAAGGACAACUGCAUAUUUCCAGUUCUGCAUUGAAUAUGAGCAUCGGCAGUUGCCAAGAAAGGUCGGCCUAGGAUAAUGGGGAUGUGCUUUCUUGAAUCCUGGAUUGGUUGAGUGUCAAUUACAAUCAAAUCAACGGGAAAAUAAAACUUGUCUACCUGGAUAAGUACGUCCUCCACAAUACCACGAGAUAUUUUCGUGAACCAUUCUGAAAGUUGUAACACCACUGGAGUUGGGUGUAAUUCUCCUAAUCCAAGUUUCACAAAUACUGAAUAAGGCAUUCUCAAUUGUGUGGUUCCCUAUGCUACAUGAGAUAGUGGGGGAACUUGGGUCUUUGCAUUUUAGAGGAAUUUUGUGUUGGAGUAUAGAACUAACAUUUUCUGUUAAAAAUGCCUUCUUUUGAAUGUGAAUGUUUCUCUUUUUAGUACAAAAGUCUUUAAGAAACUUGGUAUAAGAUGGCACUUGUUUUAUAGCAUCAAGCAAAGGGAUGUUAAUACUUACCUGUUUGAAGAUUUCAAGAAUCUCACCUGUGGAUUUUUCAUUCUUUCCUUUAGCUAACCUCUGAGGAAAUGGAGCUUUGGGAACAUAUUCUCGUGGGUUGGUUUCUUCUUUCUCCUCCGAUGGUGAGUUCUCAACAUUCAUAGGUACUAUUUGAUUUGUUUUCGUCACUGGCAUCUCUACUUUGUUGUCGACUUCUUUCCCUUUUCGCAAGGUCAUGACUGCUUUGACCUCUCCAUACUGCUGUGGUGAACUGAUACUUGCUUCAUGUACUCCUUUAGGAUUAGACACUGGUUGACUUGGAAAUUUACCUUUCUCAACAGUCAUUGCCAAGGUCUGAACUGAAGAAGCAAGUUGUCACGCCAUCUUCUCGAAGCUUGAAACUGAUUGGGCUUGUGAGUUAAAGCAUGUUCUCAACUCAUUUCGUAGUCCAUCAAUGGUGCGGUUCUGUUGCUCAAUCGUAGAGUGAGUAACAUUCUUGAAAUUCUGGAAUGCAUCCUCCCAUGGUAUGUGUUGAGAGUAGUUCUGAUUCUGAUUGUAUGGUCUAAAUGGUGGCUGAGAGGCUUGAGGAAUUUGAGGAAUUGGUUGCAUUGGUGGAGCUGGAGCUGUUGGUCCAUUCUGUUGGAAUCAUUGAGACCAUGAAAAAUUGGGGUGGUCUCUCCAUCCAGGGUUAUAUGUGUUGGAGUAUGGGUUGUAAUUUGAUGGUUUUCUCAUUACACCUAUGGCAUUGGCUUGAUCUGAGUAUGAGUCAUGGUCAUGUAGUUCUGUUGAUUUAGCAGUCGUUAACGAUGCUAUUUGUCGAGAGAGACCUUCAAUUAUCGCUUUGACUUCUUUAAUUUUUGAACUUGACUCACCAAUGUGAACCUCAUUUACUCCCUUAAUUCUUUUAGUGUUCCUGAGCGAUCGACUCCGUUGUUGGGAAUUAUCCGCUUGUCGCUGGAAGAAUUCCCAAAUCUCUGAUGCACUUUUUAACAUUAGCUCUCCUCCACUUAUUGCCAUUAGCCAUUCUUACACAUUCGGCAAUAAUCCCUCCAAAAAGUAUUGGCAUUGGUGCCAUUUCUCGUACCCAUGAUGUGGACACUUCAAGAGUAGCCCAUUGAAUCGCUCCCAUGUUUCGAAAAAUAGCUCGUCCUCUCUCUGGGUAAACUCCGAGAUUUCCCUGCGAAUAGCAUUGGUUUUAUGCACUGGGAAAUAUUUAUUCAAAAAUUUAGUUACCAUUUGUUCCCAUGAUGUAAUGUUAUUAGCAGGCAAUGUAUUGAGCCAUGAACGAGCUCUAUCCUUUAAAGAAAAUGCGAAUAAUCUGAGUUUAACAUCAUCGUCUGAAAAAUUCUCGUAUUUAAAAGUUUGACAAAUAGCAUGAAAAUCAUUCAGAUGAUUAUAUGGGUCCUCAUUUUCUAAGCCAUAGAAUGUUGGGAGACAAUUUAACACACUAGGUUUUAGUUCAAAACUCCUAACAGCUACAUUUGGGUAUCUUAUGCAUGAUGUACUCAAAUUUGCUAAGGGACUAAAGUAGUCCCUAAAUGGCCUCUCCUGUGGUGGUGCUUGUUGUUGCAAAUCCAUUUUAUUUUUUAACGUGUUUGUGUGUGCGCAGUGUUUUUUCUAAUUCAAGGUCUAUAGGCUCAAGAUUAGGUAAUAGUGACCUUCGACCAUGCAUGCAAAGAACACAAAAUAAAUGGGAACAAAACAAAUAAAGAUAAAGAAGAAGGAGAAAUUACGGUACUAACCUUUUUACGCUGUUAAAAUAUUUCUAUAAAAACACACUAGAAAAAAUUCGUGAAAUAAAUUAACUAAAAAUUAAAUUAAUAAGAUAAACAAAAAUUACAAAGAAAAAUAACUUAAAAAUAAAUUGCAGAAUUGUAAAGAAUAGAGAAAGAAAAUAAAUUAUUACCUCUAAAUGCAGAUUCACUUUUUUUUUCUUUUUUUAUUUUUUUAAUUAAAAAAAUACAAGAAAACAAAUAAAAGAAAUUAUUCACAAAAAUUAAUUCUACGAAUUAAAAUAACUUACCUCCCCGGCAACGGCGCCAAAAACUUAUGUGCAAAUUUUAUUGAACUCGCAAGUGCACGAAUCUAUUGUAAAAUAGAUUAAUGGUGACAAGUGUCGAUCCCACGAGGAGGUGAAUUUUAAUUAUAUGUAGAAUUAAUUUUGUAUAAGGGUGAUUGGAUUUGUAGUGGAAAUGAUUUGGAAUAUUCUAAAACUUAAAUUAAAAUGGCGAGAAUAAAUUGAAGAGAAAUCUAUUGAAAUGAAGCACUUGGGUAUCUGGAUCCGUAUCAACAUGUAUCAUGGGCUAAAUAUUCCUUAUUAGUGUCAAUUAAAUCAUGAGGGGGGUAUCCACACCUCAUGAACCACACUCUAAUCAAUAUGGUGUUAAGGGUUUAUCGUGCCAAAUAAUAAUAACUUUGUACUAGAGAGCCGGUGAAACUAAUGCGGUAUCUAGACAAGAUUAUUAUUAUUUGUCGACGAAAAGUCAAAUCAUCCACAAAAAUUAGAGGGAAAGAGAAAGUAAAUUUACCAAAUAAAGCUCAUGACACAUGUUGAGACUUCACCUUCAACCCAAGCUUGAAAGAAAAUUAGCCACUCAUAAUUGAACUAGGGGUAAAAUAUGAAUAUAUUAAAAUACGUAGAAAAUACAAGAUGGAGAAGGAAUUACAGAAAAUGAAGUCCAAAAAUGGAUUCAGAGAUACCAAAUUAGGGGGGAGAGCCCCCUUUUUAUAGAUACAUUGAGUAAAUCAUAGUCAUCGGAUCAAAAACAUUUCAAACGCUCAGGAUUGCGCCACGUCAUCAGUCAACAGUACAUGGUUUGACCACGUGGUUUGAACAGUAACAUGGUUUGACCACGCGGUUUGAACAGUAAUACAGUUUGAUUGAAAAUAAUCCUGUGUAAUGCAUGUACCGUACGCGAGAUUUUUAGUCCACUAAUAUGCUGCCACAUCAUCGAUCAACAGUGCAUAAGAAUUUUAGUCCAACAGGAUCGUGACACCUCAUCAGUCAAUGCCACAUCAUCGGUCAAUGCCACGUCAUCAUCCGUCUAUGUGAACAAGGUCUGGGUUGGGUCAUGACAUCUCUAGUUAAAUUAAUUAAUUAAGUUAAGUCAUUUUAAGUCAUUAAGUUAAAAAAUAAACGUCAUCAUAGUUUUUGUUGUUAUUAUUAUUAUUAUUAAUUGAGCAAGGCGAAAUUUUACUGAUCAUAUGACCGUAGUCACUCGUGUCGAAGUAAUAAUAAGGAUGAAAAUAUUUGGUGUUUAAAGGAUGUUGAUGUGAUUAGACAAAUCUACUACCAUCUCUAUUUUUACUAUGGUCGGCUUUGGUUUCUCUUUUGAGCUCAUUAGAUUGGUCCUUAGCGAUUUGGCAAAUUAGGAUUGAGGUUUAAUGGUAUUUAAGAUUGAAAGAAGAGCAAAGGGUUUAAUGUUUGGGCUUGGGCCGAUUCUUUGAGAGCUAUGGCCCAACGUGAAUAAUCUAAGAACUGUAACACUACAUAGGACACAUGUCAAGUCUCUCUCGUACCGUCAAACUAAGACCGAAACGUAAAUGUUAACGGCUAAGAAAAUAUGUACCUUGUAGCCAAUAUUAUGUCGUUACGAGAACCUUUGUGCAACAAUGCACUUUAUAUCUUAAGAUAUCGUUUUUAUUAUUAUAUUUUCUCACAAAUAUAUAUCUAUGUAUACUCCACAAGUCUAAAACCCUUGGGUAAGGAUGGCAAAAUGCAACUUUGGGUUGGGUUUUUUCAAAUCCAAGUUUAAGUCCCUUAGAGAGAAAGUAUAAAGGUUGGGCUUGGGCUGGGACCAUUGCAGGCUUAGGUUGAGCUUAGACUUUUACUUAUUUUUUUAAUUUUUUAAAUUAUUAUAAACAUAAAAUAAAUAAAUAGUCAACAAGUUGUUAUAAUCAACAAUGAAUUAAAGAAAAUAAAUAUUUCAAAAUAGCAUAAUAAAUAGAGAAAAUAAAGCAAAAAAAAGUUUAGAGAUUUAAUUUUUUAAUUGUGCAUUCUCUAAUUCAAACACUCUUUUAAUUAAUUAACACUUAAAAGAGAGUUUAAUGUUAUAAUUUUAGAUUUUUUUAAAUUCAUUAUUGAUAUACAUGAAUUAGGGCUUUAAACUUUUUUUUAUUCAAUUUUUUAUUAUUUUUAAAUUUGAAUUUAUUAUUCUAAUUUAUAAUUUUUUUUUUUAAAUAUAGAACUUGAGCUUGGCUUAAACCUUUUUCCCUUGAGCCAUCAUCCAAACCAUUUAUAUGGAGGCUUGGGCCAAAGCCCAUGGUAAUAAGCCAGGCUGGUCGAAGUUUUUUUACCGUCCCUAUCCUUAGGCUGCGUUUUAAAUAUAGCAUUAUAUGGUUUUAUAACAUUGCUCACAUUAAUUUAUUACUAAGAGUGUGCUUGAGAACUUUUGGGAGCUCAUUGUGGUGCAUUAUAAUGCACCACAAUGCGCCAUUUAGGCUCAUUUAACCCGAGGUUCCCUUGGUUUUAUUAUUAUACAAACCUAAGGUUCUCUUGAGUUUAGAUGUUUUGGAAGAGAUAUGAGUUUAGAAUAAAUCAAUUACAACAUAUAGGAAAUUUUUUUCAUUUCAUACUUAGUCUCUCGAAAAUAAUUAUUGGUGGUGAGAGAGUAUUCUUUGGAGAUAAAUUAUUGAAUUUGUUUUAAGGAAUAUUAGGGAAGUUAAAAGGACAUGUUAUGACAAAAAUAAAUAAAUACAUUUUGACCGUAUAACAUUAUAACUUCAUUAGAUUCUUCAAACCUAAGAAAACUAAGAUUAGGAUAGGAACUUACAAAUUUCUUAUGUUGUGGUGGCCAACUAAAAUUCUAAACCCUAAGUGUUAACUCCAAAAACUAUCAACAUGUCCUUUUCUUCUGUCGUCGGCCAAGUCAAUUUGUUUUAAUUCAAAAUUUUCUCUUAAUUCAAAAUUUUCUCUUAAUUUUUUUUCAAUCAUAAGAAAUCAGUAAAAAUUAUUUAUAUUCUAGAUUCUAGAAGGAAUAGAAUUGUAGCCUUUCCUAUUUAACACAAACAGAUCCACAACGUAGGAUUUACAAAAAAAAAUCUAAAGAUUUAGAGAAGACACAAAAGCUUAGCGGCUGCUAAUAGAUUUUUCACCAAGAGAAACAAUGGACUCUUCUGAAGUUAAAGUACCUGCGGAUAUCGUCUACGAAAUCUUUAUAAGAUUGCCCGUAAAAUCACUUAUGCGUUUCCGAUCAAUCUCCAAGAGCUGGCGUGACAUAAUUGACGGCAGCCUUCGUUUUGCUAACAUGCAUAUGUCCACACGACUGGCUGCUGCCGACGAACCUCAACUUCUACCGCUCUGCAAUUAUAUUGACGCUUUCGAUCGAAAACGCCGAGCGGCAUUAACAUUCGACGGUAAUAUUAUCAAGGAAAGUGACUGUCCAUCUCCAAUCUUGGAUUACUCAAAGAGAGACCAUUACUAUGUUUUUGUUGAAUUUGUUGCUUAUGGUUUAUUAUUGCUUCAAGAUUGUUGGGCUGGUAGGAACAAACUCUUUUUGUGCAAUCCUCUCAGAGGAGAAGUUUUAGAGCUGCCAAAGCCAUUACAAGAUUGUUCCAAGGACUUUCUCUUGCCGAGAAGUUUGACAAGUUACGGAAUUGGAUUUGAUAGUGCUACCAAUUCUUACAAGAUUGUUCGGUUGGGUAGAGAGCCGAGGAAUAAUCUUGAAAUUGAGGUAUACACUCUUGGCACACAUUCCUGGCGACACGCUUCUCCAUCAUCAAUCCGCCGCUCUAACAAUAAACUUCAACUGCAGUGUCUAUCUGAAUUUGGUUUGUCUGCAUAUGGAGACAUGCACUGGAAGAAUUGGGAAUUUGGAAGUGAUCAUGAAGCACGCAUUAUAUCUUUCGACUUCAAGAAUGAGCAACUUAAUGAGACUCCCCUACCAGAUUUCGGAUGCCAAGGUAAACAUUAUAGGAGGUUUCGGUUGAUUAAUCUCAGGGGAUUCUUGGCAGUUGUUAGUUUUCAAUCUGAUAGACACAUUGAAAUUUGGAUGUUGAAAGAUUAUUAUGAAAAGGUAAAAGAGACUUGGGUAAGAGAAUACAGAAUUAGUACUCAAGUUUGGGCGAGAGGAUCAGAUCCGGAUCACAAUGGCCUUUUCAGAGCUGCCAAUAUAAGUUUUUGGAGAGAACGUCAACAAUUUGAAAUUGGUGUUAGCAGUCGUGGGUUGCUUUUUGUUGAAGCGCUGGGUAGACAAGUAUUCGUUCUUGAUCUCCAAAGAAAUUGUUUGUGGCAUUUGGAUUGUCCACAAAGUUAUAAUUUUUUUAAGAAAAUAACUAUAAUAUUUAGUUAUACAGGCGGCGUUUUCUCUCUCAGACAAUUUGGCAAUCCAAUUGCAAAGAAACCUCAAAAGUACAACUUUCUAAAAACAGUCCAUAGGGUGUUUGUUUCUCCCUAGAUAGACAUCGGGGACGUAGGAUUUGCUUGUGUUUUUCAAUAUAGCAUCUCUUUUUUCCUUUGAAAGAAAUGUAAGUUGCAACAAAUAAUUUUUUUAAUGUUUAUAAAGCAAAUUCCAGGAUGGUAUGUAAGUUGCAAUAAAGAAUUUUCACCAGCCAUGUGAUGUAAGUUGCAAUUAUCUAUUUCCCUUUGCCCGCUGGAAAAAUGUAGUUUUGGGUAGCAUCUAUAUUGAUUGUGAAUUGUGAUGGCGCCUGAAGAGUGAUUACCGAUUAUUUUUUUUUCAAUCCUAGGCCUUUCAAAUUCUACUACCUUCUUGAAAAGUCACAGAUUAUAUAUAAUCCUAAUGACAGUUGGCGAGUCAAAUUCUUUCAUUUCCUAGUCUCCUAAAAUUUUUGUAAAUUAAGUUUCUAGGAGAUUAAAGACAGAUUUCAAUCGACUAUAACUAAUAGAUAGUUAACAGAUGUUACCUCUAAAAUCUAUUGCCAUUAUUAUCUUUCUUCUAUCGGCCAAGGCAAUUUACUUUAAAAGAAAAAAAUUAUGGCAGUGGCUAUAUUUGAAACCCAUAAUGAUAAUAAAGAACAAUGAUAAAUAUCCCAAAAUGUUUUGACUAAAUCAGCUAAAUUUUAAAUUUAUUGAAUGGCAUAGGUUAAUGUGAAUUACAGUGUAAACGCACACAUCAAGUAAUAAGACAUCAAGAACCUCAUAAUAAACAAUAUAGAUAUUUGUAAUAAAAUAAAAAUUUAACUCAUAUUAAAGAGUAAUUUUCAAAUAACUUUAUUUCACUUGCAUCCUAAGAAGGUAGGGAAUUAAAUAUUGAUUUGGGCUUUACUCCUUUGCCCACCCUUCUACAUCUAAAAGAAAAAGGUACAAAUGUACUCUCUUAAAAUUAAAGGUUUGGAAAGAAUAACUAUAAAUAGCAUGUCAAUUUUUUUAAAAUUGAGAGUGAUUUUAUGGACAUAUUUGAUAAAUAAGUAAAAAGUCUAUUAUUCAUAAAAAAUCAUUGCACUUGAGUAGUGUUCGCAAAAAAUCUUGGACCGGCCCAAGCCUGCAGCAAUAUGGACCAAGUUAGUGCGAACCAGGCCUAUAGGCUUUAACCCCAGCCCGCCAGACAAAGACAUAGAUAAGAUAGGGAUGGCAAUGAGGUAGAUAUGGGUUGGAUCUACUCUGUUCUAGAUCCAGAUCUAUAAUAAAAAUCAAGAUUCGUACCUGCUCCAGAUCCAUCAUGAAUCUAUAAUUUUCACUCCAUAUUCAGAUCCAAAAAAGAAAUAAAUAUUUAUAUCUACUCCAAAUCUGAAAAAAAAAAAUAAAAAUCCAAAUCUGCUCUAAAUCCGUCAUGAAUUCUAAAACUCAGCAAUAAAAAAUAAAUAAUUUUUUAGAAUGAAAAUUGAAGGCUAAAAUGUAUUGAUAACAAAAAAAUUAUAGAAUUUUUUUCAAAAAGAUAAUAAAUAUUAUAGUUUAUACUUUUACACCAAAACAAAAAAUAAGAAAGAUAAUAAAAUAUCAUUCAAAAGUAAUCAGAAGAGUAAGAUCAAUCUAAUAUUUUAUUAUCUCCUUCAUUAUUCUAAUAUUCACGACACACCCACCCCCAUUCCUACAACAUUAAAUAAUGACGUAUAAAUUAAAUAUGAUUUAUAUUAAGUGCUUUAUUAUUUUUAUUAUGACCAUAUUUAACUAAAUAUAUGAAUAGCUAUAUUCCUUAAAAAUUAAUUGGUCAAUACAGUAAAAUAAAUUGCCAGGUUGUAUUACUUAGCUUGCAAUUUGGAUAUUGCAUGUACAUGCUUUUGGGCUGGCUGGCCUUUAAAUUUACAAAACUAAACUUCAAGUUUUAAGAGUUUAAAUGCAUGGUAAAUACCACUAAUAUGCUAUGAAUAAGAUUUAUUUAUCAUUAUAAUUCCACAAUUGUUAAGAAACUUUUAAAAUAAGAUAAAAUUAAAAGAUGGGUGGAUUUAGAUAUUAAGAUAGAUCCAGACUUGCUCCAAAUCCGUCUUAGAUUCGCACAUCAAUAUCCAAAUCUGAUCCAAAUUCAUUUUAAACCGAUCCAAAUCCGAUCCGAUUAGAUUUAGAUCACGUAGAUCUUGGGUCAGAUCCAAUCCAUUGCCAUCCCUAGGAUAAGAGCUCAAAAAAUACAAAACCCAUAUAUAUUGAGCUUGGUUAAGGGCCUUACAGAAAAACUAUAUAAAAAAAAUUUAAAAAUAAAAAAGAAAACUAAAAAUAAAAAUAAAAAUUCAAAAUGCUAAAGUCACAUAGCUAAACCCUAUAUUCCCUAAUGCCUCACACAAUACCAUGAGUCACACCAGCCCACCCAAAACCAAGUGAAGCAAUAGCCAAAAGCUGCACCUUCAUCCUCACACCCACCCAACAAUUGUAGCCAACACCACCCAACACACGAGGCAGCCAUGCGAACCCAGCACCAAUAGCGCAAUGCAACUGUAGCCACUCGAACCCGCCUGACGCAACAGCAACAAACCCAGCGCCAACAGAACCUAAUAAAGUGGACAAUUAUUCUGUUUUUAAUCUUUCAUAUGUAAUAUGCAACAAAAACCUGCAGCUUAAAUGUUGUUGAAUUUGUAGAAUCUACCAAUUAAACACUUUUAAUUCAUUAACAGGUAAGAUGCACUUCUCACAAGUUAUUGUCGAUUUUUUAAGCUUUUUUAUUUAAUCUUGUAAUUUGGUGAAAUCCGAGUUGGAUUAAUUGUGAUUAUGAUCAUUUAUUUAUUUGUUUGUUUCAAAUAGGAUCUAGGGUUGAGGUUGUAGAAAUUGAUAGCUUGGAGAAGGGUUUAUUCUUUGAUAAUGGAAUAGAACGUGAAGAUGAUGAUGUUCUAUAUACGACGUCGUUUCAAAAGAAAGAAGACAAUUUUGCUCAGCAUCAAACGGCUUAGUGGGUGUUAUAUUCCUUGCUAAUGUAAUUGUGAUUAUGAUUAUUUUACUGGUAUGCAUUUAGUUUUUAAUAUGUUUUUUUUUUAGCUUUGUUACAAAAUUAAUUAAAAGUCCAAUCGUAGCCCAAGUCUGCCCAAGUCCAGCCCAAGCCCUACCUAUAUAAAUUUGGACAGACUUUCAGAAGGCUUGGGCCUAGUGACAAUAACAUCAGCUUAGGCCUGGCUUGAAAAAGCCCGACCCAAGCCUGCAAUUUGCUAACUCUACUAGGGGUGGGCAAAAAAAGUUGAUUAAUCAAAAACCGAACCGAACCGUUCGGUUCGGUUCGGUUUUUUUGCGAUUUUUUUAUAUCCAAAAAACCGAAAUAGUAAUACCGAAAAAAUAGUAAAAUCAAUCGGUUCGGUUUUCGGUUUAAAAAAAAAAACCGAAAAACCGAACCGACGAACCGAACACAAAUAAAAUCCGGAUUCCCAAAAGUCCAAAACCUAAAGUGAGUAAAGUGACUCUAAAUCUCUAAUUCAGCCGAACUCGUGACCUUCAGCCCCUGAACACGUCGCUGUUGCUGCCGCUGCUCGUCGCUGGCUCGCUGCUGCUGCCGCUGCUCAUCGCUGGCUCACUGCUCGUNNN
rnacentral:lncRNA from 1 species